rnacentral:lncRNA from 1 species
CUUGUCUUCGAUGGUCUGACUGUGCCGGAGUCAAUAGCGCUGAAGGAUUUUACACCCGAUGCACGAUUUUCGAGAAAUGUGGCUUUUAUCACAGAUGGAACAGUAUAUAGACUGUGUUUUUACUUUUUAAACACAAUCGGUGCUCCGUUUUGCGAGAAAACCCAACAACUCGGACAUCCUACAAGAGAAAGUUGUUAGAUAGGGAUUUAGGCCAUGCAAUUUGUAAAAUUGGGAGAUUUAGGGGUAAAUUAUCAAGUAUUAAUAUAUAUACUUUAGGAUUAGGGUUUCAUUAACCCGAACCCCAACCCUAGCCACCCUCCCCUCCUCUAUCUGGUCCUCCUAAGAAGCACCGUCGCCGCCGUCGCCACACCGACGGCCGGAGAAUCCACCAUUUUCUCCUCACUCUCUCCCUCUCUCUUUCUCUCUCCAUUAUUGGCUUUGAGGGCGAAGGUGACCUGAGCCUCUGGUUUCUACGCCGCCGUCGGCAGGGACCGCCACCGCUGGUAGGGACCGUCGCCGCCGUCAUCCUCGAACUCUGGCAACCGUGAGCCGCCCCUGGCGCAACCAUGCGCCAGGAGCCGCUGCAGCUAAAGGCGGAGCCUAGGGCAACCGUGCGACCCUAGGACUUCACCCGAUCGCCGUCGCCGCCGCCGCCGUCCGCUCCCACAGCCUGAAGAGGAAGAGGAAGAGGACAAGGGCAAGGACAAAAUUGUCAUUUCACAACUCUACUGNACUGCCGUCGUCCGUCACCGUUGAUCCCAGGAGGGUCGCCGGCGCUGCCCCUGCCCUUCCCAGAGCCACCGUAGCAACGAUUGGAGAAGCCCUAGCCACGACCUCUUUUGGGCCGCAGGGCCGCAGCGCCGCCGUUGCAGCUCCCCGCCGCCGGGGUUGGUGCCGACGGCCUUCCCUAAGCAAAGUGACCCUUCUCUAACCUGGCCCUGCGCCGCCGUGCCGCCAACAGUCGCCUAGGCUCCGCCCUAGCCCUACCAAACUGCGGUCAAGGGGGUACCUUGUGCUGAUCUCGUGCUUCCGACUACCUAGGACUCCAAAUUGUGAGCACGGCAUCCUUGGGACCCUAUAGAGUCCCGUGCUCACCUUCGCUGCGACCAGAGAAGCUCCGGUGCAUGCAACGGACUCGACCGCUCCCCAAAUAUUACAUUGGGAGGGCUUUCUCGUUGUUUCGAAGCUCUCCAGCCAUUAUUUAUGCUUCGAACAGCAAGCACAUGCAUCAACACGUCGAGACGAAUCAAAUCAAUUGGUUAGUAGGAUCCGUUGCAACAUGGAUCGAGGUAACAGGCUCGAAACUCAUGUUUAUGUUGUAAUUGCAUAGCAAUUGUUGCUAUAAUGGGUUUGUUGCAUGUUUUAUGCAUUGGGGACGCCGUGUACUGCCCUGGACAACGUGAAGCCGCUGUUAACAACCUCUUGACUGAUCAUCAAAGGUUCGGGAGCCGUUGCGGAGUUAAGAUGUGGCCCCACAGCAUCGUUCGUGAAAGAAGAGUAAAAUAGCAUACCCUUAUGGAUUCUAUUAAUGAUGUUAUAUAGUACAAGAGAUGAGUCUAAUAUAGUAACAAUACCUAAUAUAGUAACAAUAUAACUAGGUAUCUCAUAUUAUAUAAUCCUACUCUAAAUAUGUCGUAAUAUAUAGUAUCCUCAUAUGGCAUGAGAUACUAAAUAUGUCGUAACAUCCCCCCGCAAGCUAAGCAUCCGGUAGUCAGAUGCGAAGAUUGAGCCGCAACACGGAAAACGGAGAAGGCGACAAAGGCUUGGUGAAAAUAUCAGCAAAUUGCUUAUCAGAAGAGAUGUGCACCAAGUCCAAAUCACCAGACUGGACUUUCUCACGUAGGAACUGAUGGUCAAGCUCAAUAUGCUUCGUCCGAGCAUAGAGAAUUGGAUUAGCCGCAAGAUAAGUCGUGCUGAGAUUAUCACAAUAGAUGUUGAUGGAGCGCCAUAAGAAAACACCAAGGUCACGGAGCAAAUGGCGAAUCCAAACUGUCUCAGCAAGCGUAUAUGCCACAGCGCGAUACUCCACUUCAAAACUGGAGCGAGAAAUGGCAGGCUGUUUCUUAGCAGACCAGGAGAUAAGAUUGGGCCCGAGAAAGACGCAAUAACCAGAAGUAGAGCAACGUGUAUCGGGACAACCAGCCUAAUCAGCAUCGGCAAACGCCAUAAGAGAAGGAUUAACACCACGAGAGAGUUGAAGACCAUAAGAUAGGGUCCCUCGAAUAUAACGUAGAAUACACUUGACGGCUUGCAUAUGUGGUUGACGAGGCGUCUGCAAAUACUGAGCAACAGAGUUGACAGCAUACGAAAUAUCCGGUCUCGUGAAGGUGAGAUACUGGAGAGCACCACUAAGCUGACGAUAGACAUAAGGAUCGUUAAGAAAACGUCCCUCAUGAGACGAGAGGCGAGAGGCCGGAGAACAAAGACUAGAGACAGGCUUACAAUCAAGAAAGCCAUGGCGUUGAAGUAGUUGAUGCGUAUAUUUGUGCUUAGUCAGAUGAAGACCAGAAGAAGACGGAGUAACCUCAAUGCCCAAGAAAUAAUGGAGCGGCCCAAGAUCUUUCAGAGCAAAUUCACGUUGUAGGGUGACAAUGAGAGCCUCCAAAAGAGAGGAGGAGCUACCAGUGAUAAUAAUAUCAUCAACGUAUAAAAGAAGAACGAGAGUGCCAGAAGAGGAAUGAGAAACAAACAUUGAGGGAUCCGCGGUACUGCCGACAAAACGAAGUUCAGAAAGAAAUGAAGUGAACCGCUGAAACCAAGCCCGAGGGGCCUGCUUAAGACCAUAGAUUGCCUUGCGGAGACGACAAAUGUGAUGAGGAAAAAAGGGGUCCACAAAAUUCGGUGGUUGUGCCAUAUAAACCUCUUUAGAGAGAGUUCCAUGAAGAAACGCAUUCUUCACAUCAAGUUGUCGAAGAGACCAACCAGAGGAUAAGCCACGGAGAGAACAGUACGAAUAGUGGUCGCCUUGACAACGGGAGAAAAAGUCUCAUCGAAAUCAACACCUCGUUGUGGCAUAGUAGUAUUGCAUUUCAUACAUGCUUUCAAUUCAGCAGCUUAUUAUUGUUUAAUAUUAUCGUUACUUACCCCUUUUUCUUGGGCCUAGUGGUGCAUUGUGCUGAGGUCAGUAAUUGCCCACUGGAAACUAUAAAUUAUAGUUCUCACGCCCUCUGUUUCAUGUUCUUAUUUCAGAGCCUUCCACUCCGGGCGGGGCUAGGGACUGCGGAAAGGGUAUCGCCACGAGCUAGCUUGUGAGCGAAGGACGUUCGAUAGGUGGUCUACCUCUUCUUUGUUUUCUUUUUGGGAGAGAAUGAGAGUUGUACCUUGUAUAGAGACCACCCUUUUUGUAGUACUUUUGUGAUAACUCUUGUACUUACUUUAUCUUUAUGUUUAGUAGUUUACUUUCCCUUCUCUACUUGUUUGUUAGUUGUUAGCUGUUAGUAGCUCUGAUAUCUCUAGUGACUUUAUUUCUUCUUGCUUCCAUAUCUCUUUUGUUGUAGACGCCUUAUAUGUGCAGGCAUAUGGCAGGUCUGGGCACGCACCGGGCGGGCCUAUACCGGGUCCCGGGGCGUAACAAAAACGGUGGGAACUUGUGGUAAAAGAGAUGGCAAAUAGAAUCAUAACUGGAGGUAUGUGUGGUUCUCCUCGCCUGGCAGUAAUUCAACGGGUAUGUGUGGUUCUCCUCGUCCAUUUAGCUUAUCGGAUGAUGCCGCCUAAAUUGACUUGAACCAUUGCUGGGUAAGGACGAUGUGGUCGCUGCCAAAUGACUAAGUCACGACUUGAACCAUUGUUGGGUGUGAUGCGAUGAGUUCGCCGCCAGAUGGCUAAGUCAUGACUUGAGUCGUUGUUGGGUUCGAUGCGAUGAGUUCGCCGCCAGAUGGUUAAGUCAGAGGUGCGGUAGGCUGUGACGGCAGCCAGGCUGAGGUGCAGCCAGUGCGCGGACUAUCCGCGGAUGAUUGACUCGAGGCCGAGUCGGGUGGUUAGCUUGAUUAGGUUAAUGGAAACCUUAUAAGCUAGUGAUAGAAGCAAGAGCUAAGGUAAUAGAGACCUUAGAAGCAAAUGGCACUUGAGUUGUGAACCUAAGGUAGUAGAAACCUUAGAAUUGAAUGACAUGAGCUAAAGUUAGCAAAGUUGAACAUAGAAUCAAUAGAUCUACUAGUUGAUUGCAUAUAUUCAUAUUGCAUAUUGCGAGGCAUGUUAUCUGUUAGUUGUAUAAUUACAUUACGAUAUAUAUCUGUAGAUGUUUUUGGACUAACAUGAUUGCAGUGCCUCCUUGGACCUAUCGGUCGAGCUUUUCCCUUGGGUGGCCAUACCCACUGGGAACCAUGGAGUUGGUUCUCACCCCACGUUGUUUUGGGGUGUUACAGGUUCACACGUAAGUGGCACGGCGGCACGAGGUAAGAGCGUAGCUCCAUAGAUAGUGCCCUACCCCAGAGACCAGAGAUAGCGGUACCCCGAGUCGGCAUAGCCUAGGGGUAUAGGAAAGGGAAAGGAACACAAUGUAUCAAAUUUGUAAUAUUAAUUGUAAUACCUUAAUUGCAUUUGGAAGUUGAAUGUAAUGUAAAAUGAAUCUAAUGGGAAUGCUUGUAAUAACAUAGAAUGUGUUAUGUUGUUUGAUACCUUCCUUAUGCAAUCUUGCUUGAAUACUGUUCCUGGUUGGAAUUCCUUGUACUUGUAUUGAUUGCAGCGCCUAGGACGUACAGGGAAAACUCUGUCCGUUCAGCGGUCUGUCGACGUGCCCGAACUCGACCAAAUAGGCAAGGCUCGGGGUGUGACACAUAUAAACAGACACCCAUUCCUUAUAUGAACCGACUGCAGCCAACAUAUACUACUAAGACCCAUGGCUAGGAUCAGAAUUUGUUGCAUAGUCAAACUACAGUAGCCUCACAUUGAAUGGUCAUGGUGUCGCAGGUCUAAGGAUCAGUUGUACCACUGUAAUAUCGAACCAGUUACUGACGAAUGAGUAGACAUCCAUGUAACUGUUCAUAAUUGGUCACGCUCAGUACCCUUGUUCUCCAACAACCACUUGCAUAUUAACUCCAGUGUCCCCACACUGAUGACUCGAGAUUCGUCAUCCCAAAAGAGAAACGGCACACACAUCAAUCUUACGGGAUCAAUCAUCGUCCCCAUGAUGAUCCACCGAUUGAGAGCAUUUAGGAAUUAAUCACCAAUAAUAUAUAUCUCAAAUUCUCAACUCUUCAGAAUAUAUAUUAUCAUCUUAUUAAUUAAAAGGACGAUUCACGGACACAUUAAACAUGAAUAAAAUAAGAAAUGCCCAAUUAUAUAAAUAAUAAGAUUAAGUACAAAUAUAUGUCCCAAAGAAAAUAAAAUGUGUCAGCCUGAUAGGCUUCUAGGGCAUACAACUAACACUAAUAUAGUAUCCAAGAUAUUUUUACGGUAAACUUUUAAAUGGGAGUAUUGCAUCUUGCAGUCUAAUGCGGUUUUCGAUGAAACAGAAGUGCCACUCUCAUGGUCCGCUGGUAUAGUAAGUCCAGUAAUGGACCCCGAUGCAAUUUGGCGUGAUUUAGUGAUAUCUUGGGGAUGUUAUUGCAUAAGUGCAAUUUUUACUAAUUGGAGUAUUUAUUCAAAAAGCACGGCAUUUCAUGUGUCAAAAUGCACAAGUUUUGAUGUGGAGGAACUUAUGAGCAUAAUACACCUAUGGGUGAGUUUUGGAUUUGAAAUUGUGUUCAUAAGGGAUUAAAUUGCAAUUUUUGCAAUUGGUGCAAAAAAGGGCUUUAUGCGAAGGGUAACACAUUUCAUGUGAGAAAUUCUGGAAUUUCUGUGAGUGAAUGGACUCACGUGAAACUAGACGGGGAAUGAAUCACGUAGGUUCAAUUUUUACAAAAUUCGAGAUUCCCGUGAAAUUUUGCACACAGUUGAAAUAGAGAGAGGAAAUCAUCAGGGAACGUUUUCACAAAAAGGAUAAUGUAUAAUGCAAUAAACUGCAAAUUUUUUGAUGAGAAGGGUUUCUGUGCAAAUUGAGCUGCACUAUAGAGAUUGUGUGCAAGAGAGGGGUUAAAUUGUAUUUGUUAUAGAAAAUUAUAUUGUAUACAUAUAUAGCUACACACACACACAUACAUAUACACACACACACAUACAUAUAUAUAUAUAUAUAUAUAUAGUUGAGCUAGAAUACUAUUGGUAGCAAACGGGCUCCGUUGCCACCCAUUUAUUUUCGAUGAUGGAGCCUCCAAAUCGACGAUCGACACCGUUGAAUAUGAUCUAUACCACUUGAAGUGUUUAGAAAUCAAAUUUCAUGCAUUUUCGAUAUUAUUCUCUUAUCCAUCGAGUGGACACAAAAAUGAACGGCUGAAAAUGAAUAUUAAAAAAUGAUGAUAGGAGUCUUGUAAUCAAGAUCAAGAGUAUAGAUCUUGUUUUAAAUAGUUUAAAGAAUUUUCUACCAAAAAUUCAAUUGAUUUGGAUAUCUUUACGCCGUUAAACGAGAAAACGCCUCAUAUCGACCAUUAAAAUUACAAAUUUUGAAACUCUUUGAUUGUUAGGCAAAUGAUGUCGAAAAGAUUUGAAAUUUAAUUUUUAAACACUUCAAGUGUAUAGAUCAUGUUCAACAUUGUCGAUCGCGAUUUGGAGCUCGAUCAUCGAAAACAAAUGGUGGCAACGGAGCCCAUUUGCUAUCGAUAGUUAUUCUAGAUAUAUAUAUAUAUAUAUAUAUAUAUAUAUAUAUAUAUAUAUAUAUAUAUAUAUAUGCCUUAAACCCUGCCUAGUCCCUCUCUCCCUGUACGGCCGCCACCUCUCUCCCCGUGCUACGCCGCCUGCCGGUGCACCACCCCUGUGAGCUCCCUGUCAAGCUCUCGCUCUCUCUCUCUCUCUCUCUCUCUCUCUCUCUCUCUAUCUAAUAUAUAUAUAGAUAUAUAACUUGAGCCCUCCCGUCUCUUCUCUAGUUGAAGCCGCCGCCGACGCCGGCGUCUUGCCGCUGCCACCUUUGGGCCGAAGACCCUCAGCGGCCUCGCCCUCAGUCGCGCCAACCCCCGUGCAACAGUAGUGCGCGGCUUGAUUUAGGCUGCUGCUCCUGCGCAGCCGUGUGGCCCCGAGCACCGCCGGCGCCUUGCCGCCUUCCGAGCCGGGGCCUUCUACCUCACUCACUUCCCUCUAGUUGAUCCGAGGACUUUUGAAGCUCUGCACCUCUGGCCUUGAUGUUGGAGGCUCGGUAGAAGCCGAGUUUGGCUCUCUUGCCGACGUCGUCACCGUCACAGCCGGUAGGUGCGAGCUCCGGCACCUCUACCCUCAGGACAACCUUCCCCUAUCCCCUAUCGCUGCCAGUAAGCUUCCAAAGUGCAGGUGUCGCUGCUACUGCGAGUGACUUGAUUUUUAGGCCUUGAUCUUGGCCGACUCACUAUUUCGGCCAUCCGACGCCUCUGGCGACCCUCCGUUAGUGAGCACGGCAUUCCUGAAUGUUGGUGCUGGCCCAUGCUCCCCUGAAUUGCAGGUAACGACACCCGUGAAUUCCUGUUUUCAAUAGUGCCCGCCACGUGUUCGGUAAAAUGACCGAUUCUUGUUUUGACUCUUUCGGGCAAUCCGGGAGUUGAAAAUCAGGUUUCUUUGGAGCGUAGCGAUCGUGAGGAAAAUCUCUUCGCAGUGCUCACCAUAUUGGAGUGAUCCGAAAGGUCGGUAGAGUCGCGAACCCGUCGUGUACCCCAAAUCGGCUCAGCGCGGCCUUUUCCUUGCUCUCCGACGGACAGCAAUUGUCGAAGUGACUCCCUUGCUAGUUCACUGCAGACAGAGGUGCGUCUUCGCCCCAGUGCGCCAUUCAACUCUACUCGCUUAGCUCCAAUCUAGUAAAAUACUUGAAACCCCAUCUUUUGUAUUAUAAUGAUGCGUUGCGUGUAAUAUUGGGGCGACUUGGACUUUUUUUGAUGCUUUAUGUAUUAAGGGUGGUGUUGGGCAACAGUGUUUGAUGGAAAUUGGUGUUCGGACUUAGUGUUCAAGGUUUGGAAUCAUCCCUUGGCUGAUUUGGUGCGAAAUGACACAAAGUGAAGCCGAAAUCGGAUCGAUAGUGUGGAUUUCAAUUGUAUUAUUGAGGAAUCGAUUUUGUUGCUGUCUGGAAUGUUUGUUGAGCCUCGUUGGCUGGUAUAUCUUCGUGUUUUGUGCCCCUCGUGGCAGCGAGUGAACUGUGGGUGGUCCGAAUACCGAAAUAGGUAUUGUUGGACCCAUUUUGGGUCACUUUUGGUGCGACGGCCACCGUUUUGGUCCAUUUUGUUUGCGGCUGUCCCAACACCUAAAAUAUGGUGUUUGGGGACAGCGGGUAUGUCUUAGAGAUGUAUGGUGAGACCCAGGACACUUUGUGAGUUGAAGUGGCAUUUUAGUAAACUUAUGCGGAAGUCAGUGGAUUCGGGAGAUCGAUAUAAGUAUCCAAUGUUCUGUUUGUGUCGGGUUGUAUAGAUGACACGCAGGAUGUUGAUGAUGAUCGUGUUGAUAUUUUCUAUGUACAGGUGACUUCUAGAACUAUCGUUUCGAGUCAAGGACUCGGGUACUUGGUGAGGUGGGUGCUCCAUUCUGAAGUCGGUAAAGUUGUAUCUUACUCGGUUUUCUUUCCAUUUGAUCUAUUCUAUUAAUGGAGUAGGACAACUUCCGUUGACUUCAUAUUGGCUCGUGCUUUUACUCUACAUGCCUAUUGAUUUUCAUGUUGAUUAUCGUGUAGAUUGGUAGACUCUUGAUUGAGCUCUCUCGUAUCUCGUGUGUGACAUGUAGAGUAGGUGAUGAUUUAGUAGAAUAUCCACCUAUGUAUGAUUGGAUCUGAUAGAUCGGUGUGUACUCCUUGUUAAGAUAUGAUCAUGUUGAUCAGUUAGUUUAUCUUUGUUAAGACUUGACAAUAUUAUUGGAGAGUUACUCCAUGAGAUUGACCUAGUUGGUUGAUGUUCACUUCCACAGAUUUUUGACCUAAGGGUCGGUUGACGUAUUCCAUCGUGAUUGGGUUUUUAGCAUGCUCACCUCUGCCACAUGCAUUAUCUUUACCUUUCCUACAUACUCGUUUAGUGUAGCAUGCUAGUCGACCCGGUUAGUUUGGCUCUUGAUAUCUUCAUCGGCAUCUAGUGUGGUUAUCUCUUAGCUCCUAUUGUCGCCUACGGGCAGGGGUUUGACUGUUGAGUCUAGGUUAUUGGAGCUUUGAGCAUAUACAUGUGACUAUAACUUGUACAGCACUGAAGGAGUCCUAGACAGGAUUACUAACCCAGGGUACUUCAGUUGCCAACCCAGUGGGAGGUGAUGUUUCAUAGACAGGGUUCGCCACCCUGAGUUAUGUAACAUACCGAAAUCUCGGUAAUUAAAUUCGAACCUUGGUCAAAUUGACCAAAGUGCGAGGUUGGUACACUUCGGAAAGACCGAAGGCGUCAAAUAAUGCAAAAAUACAUUACUGGGGAUCUUCGAGAGCUUUGGAAAUCAAAAUCUGCAAAACUGCAGGUUUUGUGCUCUCGAGGACCGGUCCCUGGUGGGAGAGACCGGUCCCCGAACGCGUAGGCAGCGAGAUGGCCGAAAAAUCGGCUAAGUCCUGGAAAACCAGCUCUCAGGAACCGGUCCUUGCGAGGAGAGACCGGUCCCAUUGAGGGAGACCGGUUGCAUUGCGCGCAGCCUGCGCAGACUGCGGGAGAAGCUCUCGGGGACCGGCCCCUGGUCGGGGAGACCGGUCCCUCGUUGCGGAAAAUGCCCAGUCUGGGCAGUGCACGGAGAAAAAAGUUGGGGGGCUUAGUUGCAAAUGUUGCAACAUGAUAUAUGGCCCAUCCCUUCUCCUCUUUCACAGCCACUUCACCCUCUCUCAUUUUCUCUCCUCUCUCUCUCUCGAACUCACCUAGGGCUUGAAGGAGAAGAAGAAGAAGAACUUGGAGAAGAGGGAGUUUAGGGUUUUGGUGGUCCAAGGAGCUCACCUACAAGAAGGAACUUGGUAGAACUUGGGCAAAGGUGAGGUUUUGGUCCAAGAGAGUCUAGGGUUUGGAUUUAACCCAAAGUUUUAGGGUUUUGAGUUUGUUUCUAGCUUUAGAAACCUUGUUGAGCUAAGAAACAAUGAAAUCCAUGGUUUUCUUAUAGAGCUCUCAUGGUAGAUCACUAGGAUUCGCAUUAGAAGCCCUAGGAAUGGUUCCAAUAGCUUGGAAAUGGUAUUAGAGAGCUUCCUAGAUGAUUCUAAGCUAUUAUUUGCUUAGAGAGGAGAUCAAUCUAGAAGAAAAUUGCAUAGGGCAUUAUUAGGGCUCAAAUUUGGGGCUUUUGCCCUGGGAUUUUUCGAUGGCGAAUUGACUUCGUAGAAACCUAAUUGGGGGCAUUCUAGACGCGUUGGACAACUCCGUUCGAUGUUACGAAAAUGUUUAAGUAUGGUUCAUGUACAAAAGGCCUAAUAUGGCACUAUUUUGGUUAUAGGACGCGGAGUCGACUUUCGUAAAGUUCGGAAGUCGUCAUAUUCUACACCUACACGACCACGUGAGGUGGAGGGUGCAUUCCGGAAUCGUUGGAUUCUCUUCUAUGUCAAUGUCACUUUUCAUUUGAGCAUAUUGUAUAUAGUCGUUCAUGCAUAUUAGGAUUGCUUACAUGUGAGCCUUGGUAUAACUUUAAUUAUAUGCUUAUAAUGUAGUUGGACGUAAAGAAUGAUAGAACCAUAAUGGACAUAUAUGCUAGAACCCUAAAGAUGUAUGAAUAGGAGACUUGGACCUUGAUCUUAGUAAACAAAGGUGACAUUGACUAUAGAGACAAGAUUGGCAUUGAGAUAGUGAUUGUUAAACAUGGUUUAACCAAGAGUGACAUGAAUAAUUAGGUAGAAAACCUAUUAUGAUAGUGGCAUUGUGACUAAUGGCUAUACGUUCCCAAGUUGGGGAUCGGAUCAAUACUCACGAUAAGUCUUGGCUUGAGGGCGGUAGCUCCCCCUCAAGCGGUGCGCUCCGGAGUAGGUCACCACGGGGAUAGUGACCCCGAAGGACGGUCCCUCAGUGGAAGUGCUCGAAGCCUCCUCGAUCAAAAAGGAUUUUGGGUUGUGAGUCAUUGGGGUUAACAAGGUUAACCGGUAAAAUUGGGUAAAAGCCAAAGGAAAGUAUCGAUCAAGCAUGCAUGCAUAAUUAUUGCUUUCAUAUCUAUAUCCGCUGACAUCUUUAUUGCAGGCAUAUAGUAUUAGCAUUAGUUUGGCUACUAUUUCCUUUCCGUUAAAAUACUUAUGCCUGAAAUAGACCUAGUGGGUAAGUCGGCGAGGUCGGUUGCCGAACCCAUUGGGAACUUCGUUGUAGUUCUCACAUCACUAACCCUACAGGUCCUAGCACGAGCGGGGCGGCGGAGGACCGAGGUAAGGGUUUAGCGCCGUAGAUAGCGGCCACCGGGACCAUCUCACAUUUUGUAGUCAUUUCCCUUUUGGUUUACAUGUAUCACCUUCUUUUGUUGAUUUAGAAAGUUGUAAAGUUGAAAACAAAUAUGUAAUUUGGUGAAUGGCUAAAUGUAAAGAAUUAUGAAUGAAAGCAAAGAAAUGUGAUAGUUCAGUUUACUUUUAUUUGGUUCCAAUGUAAUCAAGUAUCAUGUAUGGUUGAAUAUAUUAGCUUAGAGCUUUCGCUUCCGUUGUUGCUUGCCCUCGUGCAAGCCUUAUAUAAAUGCUAAUCUCGUUGUUUAAUUGCUUUAUUAUACAUGUUGUAGAGCCUUGGUCUGACAGGGGAGGCCCUGUCCGUUCGGCGUCUGUUGACGUGACCCGAACACGACCAAAUUGGCGGGGAUUGGGGCGUGACAAGUUAUCACCCCCAAACUUGAUAUACACUGCGCUUAGACAGAGUUAGCGACUUUGGGUGCGGGUUGAUGUGUCCCUCCAGAGUAAAACUUGAUUUGUGGCCCUUGAGACCUAUGGGCGAGUUUAGGCCGAGUAUUUGUGACGAGCCACAGGGAUUGGGUAUACUUUGGACUACUCGUAUGUCUAGUUGAUGCAUAGUAUCUCGAUGUGAGUCAUGCAUGGUAUCUAGUAGUUGUUUAGCCUACAGUAGUGGCUUUCAUUAUGAGUGACUCAGGUCACUGUACAUCCUUCAUCUUGCUACCAUAGUUGGAUCUUUCAUGUUAGCAUAUGACUUGUUUAAAGUAGCGGUACCUCGCACAUGAUUGUUCGUGAUGACUACUCACUAGUUUUCCUUGCUACUGUGGUUGACUUGUAUUCUUCAUUUCAGUAUCUAGUAGCGGCAUUAUUUUUGUAUUCAGCUCAUGAUAUAUGUUUGACUAACCUUUUUGCUACCAUAGUUGAUUACUCGUUUACAGUUACCUUGCUUAUCAUACUCUUUUGUUUGCCAGUGAGUGCGGCUUGCCCUCGUCGGCUGGUUGCCCCCACUGGGAAACAUAUUUAUAUGUUUCUCACCCCACUGUUUUUACAGGUGCCGUUGACAAUGCGGGUUAGGGCGCGGUGUGAGGACACGGUUGGUUAGCGCCUAGAUAGCUUGUGCCAUGGAUCUCAGUUUCCAGUCUCAGAUUUUACUUAUCUCAGUACCUUGUGAUUUGGUUGUAGUUAUGUGAUACUAUAUGUGUUUGGAGUUUAAUUGCUUUUGGGUUUUCCUAAUAGAGUAGUUUAGUCGAUUCUGGAUUUUGGUAUUGGGUUGAUUGGUAGUUGCAUAAUUAAACUAUCUUGUUCUGCUUGCUUGUGGUUCUGUAUUUGUGCUCCUACGCCGUGCAUGUACAGGGGAGACUCUGUCCGCAUGGAUAGAGGAUGCCCUGUGCGUGUGGCGAGUCUGUGCAUGUCCCGGACAGGAUUUACAAAAAAGAGGAAAAAAUUUAUACGCUUUCCGCAACUCUGUUUUCAAAUUGGAUGGUUUUCUCAAAAAUUAGCUUUCCUAAAAGGGCCCGGAGCGUGACAACUAACCACCCAUCAAAAGUGAUGGGUGGUUAAGAAUUUAGGAGCAUAAGGGUUGUUGUGCUCCUAAUAGCAUAGUAGCCCUAUUAUAAAUAUAAAUAUAUAUAUAUAUAUAUUUAUAUAUAUAUAUAUAUAUAGGCCGUGGCUACUAUACUAUUAUGAGUAUUGGAGCCCUCGUACUCAUAAGUUGUUUUCGAUGAUGGAGCUUCCGAAUCGACGAUCCACUCCAUUAAAAAUGAUCUAGAGUAUUUGAAACUUCUAGAAAAUAAAUUUCGUAAAUUUUCGAAAUCAUAAUAAAGUCCAUCAAGCAGGCAUAAAAUAAACGGUCAAAAUCGAAGGACGUCCUAAAAAAGGAUGAUCGGAUCCUUCAAUUCAAGAUCGGAGUUAUUGAUCUUUAUCUAGGUAGUGAAUAGAAUUUUCUAUCAAAAAUUCAACAAAUUUCAAUUCUUUUAUACUGUUAAACUAGCAAGUAUUCCAUACUGGCGAUUAAAAAUUGUCAAAUUUGUGACCUCUUGAUCGUAAGGUAUAUGAUGUCGAAAAAUUAUAAAAUUUGAUUUCUAGAAGUUUUAAAUGCUGUAAAUAACGUUUAACGGUAUGGAUAGUCGAUUCAGAAGCUCUAUCAUCGAAAACGAUUUAUGAGUACGAGAGCGAUUGUACUCAUAAUAGUAUAGUAGCCGGACCCUAUAUAUAUAUAUAUGUAUAUAUAUAUAUAUAUAUAUGUAUAUAUAUAUAUAUAUAUGUAUAUAUAUAUAUAUAUAUAUAUAUGCUUUUAGAAGCACGGUAGCCUCCGUGUUGUCAAAUCGUUAUCAAUGCCGAGACUUCUGAAUUCACGAUUGGCUCUAUUAAACUUGGCUAGAGAAUUUAAAGUAUCUAGAAAAUAAAUUUUGCAAUUUUUCAAAAUUAUUUACCUAGUGAUCAAGAGAGAUCAAAAUUGAUGGCUGAAAAUAAAAAUUUCACAAAAAUAAGAUAUGACACUAAAAUUUUAUAUCAAAAAUAUCGAUCUUGUUUUAUAUAGUAUAAAGAUUUUUCUAUUAAAAUUUAGUGUAAUUUGGAUAUUUGCACACCAAUAAACUUGCAAACGGCACACCACGAUAUUGAGUUUGGGCCCAUUCGAUCGCUAGUAAAUGAUAUCGGAAAAUUACAAAAUUUAUUCCCUAGCUACUUCAAAUACUCUAAAUUAAGUCUACGGAGCCAAUCGUCAAUCCGGAAAUCCGAGCGUCGAUAACGACUUGAUAGCACAUAGGACACCGUGUUCCUAAAAGCACAUGAGCCUAGUCUAUAUAUAUACACAAAUAUUUAUGCACGCGUGUGUGUAGAAUCCGACUUGUGUGCUUUUAAAAAUACAGAGGCCUCUGUGCUAUCAAGUUAGAGAGUGGGACUUCCGACUUGACGAUCGGCUCCGUUAAAUUUAAUCUACAGUAUUUGAAGUAUCUAGAAAAUAUAUUUCAUAACUUUUAGAUAUCAUUUACCUAGUGACCGAAAUGACUCAAAAUCAAUGGCUGAAAAUAAAAAUCUCACAAAAAGUGAUGACAUAACUAAAAUUUUAGAUCAAAGAUAUUGAUUAUGGUUUAUAUAGUAUAAUGAAUAUUCUAUCAAAAUUUUACCUGAUUUGGAUAUUUCUACACUAUUAAACUUGCAAACUACUUACCACGACCAUUAAAAUUGUUGAUCGUACUCAUAAUAGUAUCAUAGUAUGGUAGCCAGACUCCUAUAUAUAUACUNUCAGCGCCGCGCCGGAGCUGCCCCAGCCUCCUCUCCUUCCACCGCCAACACGCCCGCUCCCGCUCCUUCUCCCGCUCUCGUACUCCCACUCUCCGCUCCGCCCGGCAAAGACGAAGGCGAAGGCGAAGUCGGAGGAGGAGACGACGGGGAAGCCGCUCUCUUUUUUUUACUACUCUCUUUUUUUCCUCCCUCUUUCUCCUCUCUCUUUUACAUUAUUCCCAUAAAACCAGUCAAACGACUUUUAAGCCUGGCUUAGACGUUUUUGCUUUUCCCACCGGGUGAAAACGUUUUCGGGUUUUAAUCACCUAACAAAUACGUUUAACCGGUAUAAAAUUAAGUUUUUAACUUUAAUUAAAUUUCAAAUUUAUAAACCCAGAUAUUUGUCCGCCAAAGUUCAUUUUUUAUUAAUUAAAUGAACCUUUUAUGUUAGAUACAGAGGUUAUUGAUAAAUAUAACUUUAAUACCUAAGUUUUAAUCGAAGUUUAAAACUCAAAAUAAGUAUUUAAAUUUAGACUUAAGUAAUUAAAUUUUAAAUUUUUUUUUCCCUCUCCGACUCUCCUCCACCGUCUCCGACAACGAAACCUCUCCCGCCCUUCCCCGCCCUUCUCGUCCUCUCCCUCUCCCUCCUCUGUCACCUUCGACAACGACGCAUCUUCGUCAACGCUGACACCGUGGAGGUCGCUGCGGCGCUGCAGCCUCGGAGCGGGGGGUGCUUAGCGGCGUUGUCGCCGGCGCUGAAAGAGAAGGGUGACAAAAAAAAUAUAGAAGAAAAAAAAAUAAAGAUAAAAAAUAUAGAAAAAGAAAGAUGAAGAUAAAAUUGUGCAACAAGAGGAGAAACAGUGUAACAAAAGGAGAAAUAGUGCAACAAGAGGAGAAACAGUGCAACAAAAGGAGAAACAGUAUAAAUAUCUCUUAAAGAGAUGCAGUUUACAUCUCAAAGGGUGCAACAAGAGGAGAAACAGUGUAAAUAUCUCUCAAAGAGUGCAAUUUUCGUUUAAAGAGUGUAACUUUCAUCUUAAUGGAUGCAGUUUAUAUCUGAAAGAGUGCAAUAAGAGGAGAAACAGUGUAAAUAUUUUCCAAAGAGUGCAAUUUUCGUUUAAAAAGUGUAAUUUUUACCUUAAAGCUGCAAUUUACAUCUUAAGUAGUACAACUUAUAUCCAUAAUAGUGCAACAUUUUUUUAAAACAGUACAAUUUUAUUUUAACAGUACAAUUUCAUCUUCAUCUUUCUUUUUCUAUAAUUUUUUAUCUUUAUUUUUUUUUCUUGCUUUUUCUAUAAUUUUUUUUGUCACCUCUCUCUGCCAACGGCCACGGUGCCGGUGACGACGCCGCUAAGAACACCCCCCCGAGGCUGCAGCGCCGCAGCGACCUCCACAGUGUCGGCGUCGGCGAAGAUGCGUCGUCGUCGAAGGCGGCAGAGAAGGAUGGAGAGGAAGAGGACAAGAAGGGCGGGGAUGGGCGAGAGAGGCGUCGUUGUCGGAGACGGUGGAGGAGAGUUGGAGAGGAAAAAAAAAAUCGCGGCGCGGCCUCGAUGGGGUCGAAGGCGAGGAAGGUGGGGGGUGCGCGGGCGAGGGCAAAGGCGAGGGCAAGAGCAUAAAGGUGAGAGGCGAGGUGGGCGGUUUUCGCCUCCUCUGCCUCCGCUGCUUUCUUCGGCGAGAGAAAAAAAAAUGAACGAGAGAAAAAAAAAAAGGAGAGAGAAAGAGGAGAGAGAAAAAGUAAUAAGUGUAUUUUGGUCAGUUUGAUGAAAAUUCGGACCGAAUCUGCAAAACGAAAAAUGUUGGCCACUUUUGCAAAAGCCCAAAAUUAGUGGAUUUUUUAUGCAAAUUGGCCUUAAAAUAUGGAUUCACGUUUGAAAUUAUGAAUCAAACUUAAAAUUUAAAGUUAAUUCGAUAAGCUUGUUCUAAAACAUUGUAUGUUUCAAGUUUAAUUUGUUUUUAGUCGAAUACUAUUAAUAUCUUCAAUGUGUGUUUCGUACAGAUAUUCUUAUUUCGAUAAGUAUGGAAUAUUCUUUUAUAGAGCGACUGUGAUCCUUCGGUUGGCAGAAAUUUGGAUAAAUAUGAAUUUUUUUCUGUUUCCACAAAUAAAAUGCAAUAUUUUUUCCUCCUAAAAAAAAGGUCUAUCAAUAACUAUUUUAAUAGUUAUCUCAAAUCAACAUAAAUUUAUUAAUCAUAUUUAUCCAAAAAAUUAAAUUUUAAGAAAGUAAAUUUAGCUGUUAUAAUUUAUUCGAAAAUAUUUCAUAUCCUAAUUCAAAUUCAAAGAGUUAUUGCUGACAAUAAUUAUAUAGUUCUAUUUUUUUCUUGUUAUAUACAUUUGAGUAUUUUUUUACUUUUUUCGAAUUCUGACAAAUCUAAAUUCAAGUAUAAAUUUUAAAUUAAAAGUAUCAAAAUUUUAAUAUGUUUAAUUCAAAAUGUCACAUUCAAUUUUAAAUUAAAUUUAUAUUUAUUUUUUAAAUUUAAAUUAUUAUUGUGGUAUGUGUCUAUUUAUUAUUUGAUUUUUUUCUAACUUUAGUUUAUCUCCAAAUAAGUUUUAUAUAUUUUCAAUUUAGUUAUACUGUAAAUAUCUUUAUUUGAAAUGAAUAGUUCAAAAUGACUGGACACGAAAGUAUUACUAAAAAGAUAGAGAUAAAGAAAAAAAGCAAAACUUACGCUUUUAUAAGAAGUAUAGAUAUAUAGAAUUGAGCUUAGGAUUGAGUGCAUGGUUGGUUGAAUAGUAUGAUCUAACGAGUGGAAAUGGUCAAAGGGAUAGAUCUAAUGGCGGAAAACUUACAAACACCAAGUGUUUUGUGCUUUUAAGUAUAUAUAUAUAUAUAAUAUAUAAUAUAGAGCUAGGCUGGUCAUAUAACCUGGUAGCAUUCGCGAGGCCUCCGUGCUACAAUUUUUUCAAUGAUGCGCGUCUAAAUAGACCGAUCGACUCCGUUAGACUUGAUCUACACUAUUAAACAUAUUUGAAACUAGAAUUUCAUAAAAUUUAUCGGCAUCAUUUACCUAUCCUCAACGAUGUAGUCUAAAAAUUGAACGAGGUUGCUGAAAUUAAAAAAUUCUCAUAAAAACAGUGAUUAAGAAUUUAAAUUCAAAUGCGAAAUUGUGGUCUUGCUAUAAUAUUAAGUAGAAUUUCUAUUAAUUUCAUCUAAUUGGUAUACUUCUAGUCAUAACCGUUGAGCUUAAAAUACGCAUCAAUAUCUACAUUAAAAUUGUUAAUGUUUGAACCAUUUUGAACUCACUAGCCAAAGAUGUUCGAAAAAUUAUGAAUUUAGUUUCCAAAUCACUUUUAAUAGUGUAAGACAAUUAACGGACCUGCGAUCGUCGAUUUGAAAGCCGCAUAAUUGAAAACAACUUGAUAGCACGGAGGCCUCCGUGGCGCUACCGAUAGUAACCACAGCUCUCUGCUCCUCUAAUAUAUAUAUAAUAGUAUAUCAUAUAUAUAUAAGAUACUAAUAUAUAUAUAGUCUGGCUACUAUACUCUUAUGAGUACGAUCAACCUCGCACUCAUAAGUCGUUUUCGAUGAUAGAGCUUCCAAAUCAACGAUCCAUAUCGUUAAAUAUUAUCUAGCGUAUUUAAAACUUUUAAAAAUCAAAUUUCAUAAUUUUUCAACAUCAUUUACCUUACGAUCAAAAGGUCACAAAAUUGACAAUUUUUAAUGGCCGGUAUGGGAUACUUGCUAGUUUAACGGUGUAAAAGAAUCGGAAUCCGUUGAAUUUUUGAUAGAAAAUUCUAUUCACUGCCUAGAAAUAGAUCAAUAAGUCAGAUUUUAAAUUGAAUGAUCUGAUCAUCCAUUUUUAGGAUGCCGUUCGAUUUUGACCAUUCAUUUUAUACCCACUUGAUGGACUCUAUUAUGAUUUCAAAAAAUUACGAUUUUUUUUUAGAAGUUUCAAAUACUCUAGAUUAUAUUUAACAGAGUGGAUCGUCAAUUCGGAAGCUCCGUCAUCAAAAGCAACUUAUGAGUACGAAGAGCUCCAUACUCAUAAGAGUAUAGUAGCCCUACUAUACUCAUUAUACCAAGAGCUCUAUACUCAUAAGAGUAUAUAUAUAUAUAUAUANAAAAAAAAUAUAUAUAUAUAUAUAUAUAUAUAUAUAUAUAUAUAUAUAUAUAUAUAUAUAUAUAUAUAUAUAUAUAGUGUGAGGCUACUAUGCUUUUGGAAGCACGGAGCCUUCCGUGCUUCCAGGUCGUUUUCGAUGUUGCGACUUUCGAAUUGUCGAUCGGCUCCGUUAAACUUGAUCUAGAGUAUUUGAAGUACCUAGAAAAUAAAUUUUAUGAUUUUUCAAUAUCAUUUGCCUAGUGAUCGAAGGGGCUCAAAAUCAAUAAUUUUAAUAGCCGUAGUGAGCAGCCUGCAAGUUUAACGGUGUAGAAAUAUCCAAAUCACGUGAAAUUUUGAUAGAAAAUUCUUUAUACUAUAUAAAACAAGAUCAAUAUCUUUGAUUAAACUUGAUCUAGAGUAUUUGAAGUACCUAGAAAAUAAAUUUUAUGAUUUUUCGAUAUCAUUUGCCUAGUGAUCGAAAGGGCUCAAAAUCAAUAAUUUUAAUAGCCGUAGUGAGCCGCCUGCAAGUUUAACGGUGUAGAAAUAUCCAAACCACGUGAAAUUUUGAUAGAAAAUUUUUUAUACUAUAUAAAAUAAGAUCAAUAUCUUUGAUCUAAAAUUUUAAUGUCAUAUUAUCACGUUUUGUAUGAUUUUUAUUUCGAAAAAUCGCAUAAUUUAUUUUUCUAGAUACUUCAAAUACUCCAGAUCAAGUUUAAUGGAGCUGAUCGACAAUUCGAAAGUCGAAACAUGGAAAACAACCUGGAAGCACGGAUCCAGAAGCAUAGUAGCCUCACUCUAUAUAUAUGUAUAUAUAUGUAUAUACGUAUAUAUACAUAUACAUAUGUAUAUGUAUAUGUAUAUCUACAUAUACAUAUACAUAUACAUAUAUAUAUAGAAUAAGUCUCCUAUACUAUCAAUAGUACCGGGGCUCCGGUACUGUAGUCUUGUUUUCGAUCUUAGGGUGUUCAAAUCAACGAUCCACACCAUUAAAAUUGAUCUAGGGUAUUUAAAGUUUUUAGAAAUAAAAUUUUAUAUUUUUUCGACAUAGUUUAUUUUAUGAUCAAACUAUUUCAAAAUUGUCAAUUUUCAAUGGCUACUAUGGCAAGUUUGGAGUUUAACGGUGUAGAAGAAUCUAAAUUUCUUCAAAUUUUGAUAGAAAAUACUUUAAACUAUCUAGAUUAAGGUUAACAUUCUUGAUCUUGAAUUUAAAAAUCCUAUGCUCAAAUUUUAAAGAUUAUUCAAUUUCCACCGUCCAUUUUGACAUAAUUUAUUUACUAAGUAAACGAUGUCAAAAAAAACUAAAAUUUUAUUCCUAAAAACUUCAUAUACCCUAAAUCAUAUUUAACGGUGUGGAUCGUUAAUUUGAACACCCUAAGAUCGAAAACAAGACUAUAGUACCGGAGAUCCGGUACUAUAGAUAGUAUAGUAGCCUAAUUCUAUAUAUAUAUAUAUAAUUAUAAAUAUAGUAUAAUGAGUUGGAAUGGUUUUAAAAGCACCAAGGCCUUGGAGCUUUUAAGUUUUUGGUCCUUGGAUCAAACUUGGAUCAAUUCUUUUAGUAAUUGGAUCAAAAGUCAACAAUUGAUGGCUCAUGGUGGCCCCUAUUGUGCAUGAUCCAAAGGCCAAAAGACUUGAUCCAAAGGGCUUAUAAGGUUAAUAACACCAAAGAGUUGGUGCCUUUAAAAGUGCCCCAACUAAACAUAUAGAGAGAGAGAGAGAAAGGAGAAUCAAGGCAGGGAGGAGAAAGAGUACCCUGUACGCUGCACUUUGAGGCACCCGCGCUAAUGGAUGUGGGAACUCAUUAGUUGGCCUGCCGACAAGAAUCGGCAGUUAGAAAGUGCAACAUCAUAUCAAAUUUAAGAAAUUUAUAGUACUGGUUUUGGAUAAUAAACGGCAUAAUUGCUGCAGAGAAGGCAGGCCAAACUCCAGUUAGCAGGUUUGAAAUAUUAUGUAAUCAGUAAUCCCCCUUGUUGCACAAAUAAACACAAUUUUUAAUCUAUAAUCCUAGAGUGUAGGCCUGUUGAGAAGUUUACUAGGACUAGUAAAGUCCAAUGUACCUACAUGGCAAGCAUCACUCAUAUCACACAGCCGAUAACCAAACAACCUCAAUAUAACUGUCAAAUCAUGAUUAAGAUAUUUGUGCAAAUCAAAAUAUUUGUAAAAUUACAAUCGAAUGUAAAAUUACAAUCAACUGAUCCAGCAUAACCUUUCCAGGACGUUGAGAGUUAUUUCAAUUGCCAUCCAUAUCAUCCUGAGCGUGCUACUAUGUCUGCUCACAGGCAUAAUAUGACUAUCCUAGGAAUCAGUUGCCCUUUGUUCUCCUUAAUUCUAUUUCUAUCAUGGGCAGAAGACGUAGCAGAAGACGUAAAAUGAAACAGCUAAACUGAGCUAAGGGCUUGUGUGAAGGGAAAAUAAGAUCAACCGGAAAAAGCAUUGAACCUUCUGUUCCAACGUUUUGAAAUGUCACUAUUGACCUUAAAAGUAGUUAUAAAUAAAGAAGGUUCACCAAACUUGGAAUCAAUUUUAUUUGUCAUCAUCAUUAAGACACUCACCAUCAUUAUAAGGAAAAUCUAAUAGAUAUCACAAGUCACAACAUAAGCAGCAUCCAAACAGUCUCAACAUAUUAGCCCAGAAAUCCAGAAUAUCUUUUUGAAUGAUCUUUUAAACCUUAUGUUAACUUUCAAUAGCAUGUAAGACCAUAAAAGAGUAAAGAAAAUCAAGUGCAAAAGUGCAAAAUAGUAAAAGAAUACAACUUGGGAACAAAAGAAGCAAAUUCGUACUGGUUUUGAUCUUUGAGUCACAUAUUCAAUCUAUCACACAGGAGAGGAGAAAGAUUACAGCAUCUAGAGAUUAAUAAAACAGAACAUGAAUGAUUAGAAAAAAUCAAAUUGAUGUUACUUAGUUUGCAAUUGAUGAAACUUACGUCCAUGGCAUUGUAAAGAAGAUGUGAAGAGGUACACCAAGAGCUUCAGCGACAUGUGCAUGUCCUGCAAGCAUGAUUACAAAUCAGGAUAACCGAAAAGAUAGUCUAGAUGAAUUGCAGGUAUUGCUUACUAAGAGGUGGAAUUGUUCUUAAAAUAUUCCAUGUUACUAUUGCACGUGAUUAUCCCAAAUUCAAGCAUAUAAGUGACUAUUACUGUAAGGAAGUGAAUUCUCAAAAUACGAGAGUUGAACUUCGUUUAGAAUCGACUGACUGUCAAUUGGGUACGCUUCGGAAAGACCAAAGGCGUCAAAAACCCAAAAAGUGCAUUGAGGAGGGCCUCGGAGAGCAAGAUAGAGGAAUUCUGCAACUUUGCAGAUUUUGCUCUCGGGAACCGGUCCCUGGUAGGAAAGACCGGUCCCGUAAGCAGAUUGUGCGGCAGAAAAACUCUGCGCGCGAUGUUUGCUCUCGGGGACCGGUCCCUGGCAGGAGAGACCGAUCCCCGUACGCACAAAAUCGGGCAGAGCCCUCUGCCCGCAGAAGUUGCUCUCGGGGACCGGUCCCUCCAGGGACAGACCGGUCCCUGUAGCCCGAAAAUGCCCAGGCUGGGCUGUGUCAUGUUGGACAAGUGGAGGGGCUUUUAUGCAUUUGUAGCAUAAGUGGAGGGGUAUAGAAGGGAAUGAGCUCUCUCUCUCCCUCAUUUCUUCUAAACCCAACCUAAACCUAGCUCCCUCUCUCUCUAAACUCUCUUUCUCUCUCUCUAAAAGGGUGAAGAAGGAGGUGGAUUUGGUGGAGAACAAGAUCAAAGGAAGGAUUAGCAUCUUCUUCUUCUUCCUCUCCACUAUUAGAGCAAGCUUCUUGAGGUAAGCUUUGAGAGCUUUCAUGGUAGAUCCCUCUAGAUGGGUUUUUAUCUCCUAGAAUUGGUUUUGUUGGAACCCUAGCUCGCCAAAUAGAGGGAAUAUGCAUGAAUCUAGAGCUUCGUUGAGGGAUUCUUGCAUUGGUUGAAACCUAGGGCUCCAAAUUGGGGUUUUUGGAAAUCGAUGGGUUUGAUCUAAAUUGAUCAUGUGAAAACCUAAUUGCUAGGUGUUUAAACGCGUUGGAAGUGACGGUUCGUCGAUUCGUCGAGCGAGUGCGAAGGUAUAGCCGAAACGAGUGUUCGUGGCUUCGUGUUGAUCCGAAGAGUCGAAGCGGCGACUAAGGAACGUGCAAUCGAGAACCUAGCUUGGUGACACUACCAAAAGGUGGGAGGUGUCAUCCCGAAGCAACUGGGCUCCUCCCUAUGUCUAAGUACAUUAUGUUGAUCAUAUUCCUUAUGCAAUCGUAUGCAUGAUAGGGUGUUUAGAUGUUGCAUUUACGAUUCUUACAUGCUCCCUUGUAGUGCGGCAUAGUAGGCUUGGCACGUGAGUUUAGGGUGCAUGAGAAUGAGCCGUUGUGACAUAGAACCCUAUAGAGAUAAGAUAAGUAAUAACUUGAUCUUGCAUUGACGAAUAUGAUGAUAUAUGACUAGUGUAGUCGAAACAUUGCACCAUGACAAGUGGCAUGUGAACCAAGUGAGUAACUUGACGAGUGGCAUUAGGGCUUAGUGUUAAAAGAACACUUGUGACAUGAUGACUUAGGGAUAGGUGAGUCUCCCUACUUGACACCUUGCAUGAGAUCGGUGUGAUGUCGAUGACCCUAGUGACAGGGUAUCCUCCGUGACGAGGAUUGGAUCAUACUGACAUAGUCUGUUCAGCGCUUGUGGCGGUCGGUCCGCACAAGUAGUGCGCUCCGGAGUUUGGCACGUGUAAGAUUGGGAUAGCCUAUUUGGGGUCCCAAGGGAUAGCCUAUGUGGGGUCUCGCAGACGGUCCCUCGGGUGGUUUGAGUCUCCCGUUAUAGAGGGAUUUCGAGAUGUGAGUCGAGGGCGCGCCUACGGGCCAACCAGAGGAUUGGGUAAUGAAUUCGAAAGAAUUGUGCAAUUUGAGCAUAUUGAGCAUAGUAGAGUUGCAUUCGUGCUUGAUAGAGUUAUAGUAGUAUGUUAGUGUUUACAUGGCUAUGUUGGUUACUCUUGUUUCUCAAGGCAUAGUAGAAUAGUGCAAUUCUUUAAAUAUGCAUCAGUUUCAGUUUUAGAUAUCUAUCUAUCUAUCUAUCUGCUUAUGCCUGCUUAGACCUGGUGGGGAGAUCGGCGGAGUCGGCGGCCGAACCCACUGGGAACUAUGGACUAUAGUUCUCACCCCACUUUGUUGCAGAGCCGAGUUCGAAUACUCCCGGCGAGGACCGUGGUAAGGGCAUCGCGCCCUAGCUUAGUAGCAGCUACCCUACGCAUUAGAGUACUGAUGUACCUAAGAGUUGUGAUGUAUUUUGAGGGAGUUGCUUAUGUAUUUUGGAUGAACAUUAUAUAUAUUCAUUUUGGAGAGUUACAAAUGUAAACUGAUGUAAAUGAAUGAUUGAAUGGAUGUAAUAGAUAGACGUAUCUCUCUUUAUUCACUUGUAUCAUUACUUGUGUCUUGCUCUUACUUGUUAGCACUAGUGGUGCUCUAUGUUAAUCAUGUAUGUUGUUGAGUUAUUCCGGGGCGACUCAUGUACAUGAUUGCUAUGGUGUAGCCUUGGGCGGACAGGGGAGGUGUUGUCCGUCCGGCGUCUGUUUAACGCGCUCGAACCGGACCAAAUUGGUAGCGGUUUCGGGGCGUGACAAUUACCAAAUAAUACAAUAUUAAUUCUGUUUUGGGCAUUUUUCACAAACACUAAGGGCCCGUUUGUUUUGGUGUAAGUGGAGUGAUGGAACUCAAGUUCCAUCACUUCCGUUAUUUGUUUUGAUGUAAAUGAAAAAUAUAAUGUAACUCAAGUUACGUUAGAGCUCCACUUCACCUACUCUCGACUUCCGGCUCUAAAGUACCGAACUCGACUUCCACCACACUCAACCUUCUCUAAACAAUUUAUUAAACAGUAAAACCUAAACUCUACUUUCUUUAUAAUGGGUUAGAAUUACCUUAUUUAUAAUAAAUUAAGAUUAUCUUUAAAUAAUAAUAAAAAAUUUAAUUAUAUAAUAGGUUAAAUUUUAUAGUGAUAAAUUUAUUACUAUAUUUAGGAGAUAAUGGGAUCCACUUACUUACAUCAAAACAAACAACGGAACUCAAAAAACUAAUUUUACCAGCACCAAGUUACAUCAAAACAAACAGCAGAAGUGAUUGAAUUUAACUUUCAGUGGUACGAGUUAAGUCAAAACAAACAACAGAAAAAUAAUCACACUUCAGGGAAACUCAAACACCACUACACUUGACUUACGUUGAAUCUACAAAUUCGUCAAUCCAAACGCCCCUUAAAAGUCCGGUAAUCUUAAUUUAUUUUAGAUACGGGUACUUCUAGGAAGAAGGCACAAUUUACACAAAGGGGGCCAACCAUAUAACAAAAGGCUAGCCUGCGAUGCAUAGAUCCUUCAUUUUAUUUCCCAUGUCUGAAUCCGGUACAUAUCAGAUACUAAUACGCGAAUGAUACACGAUCCAUUCAUGUUGGAUACUCUACUGAAAGUAUCCAAAUUUUCUUAAAAUUGAGAAAAUACCAAAUAUUUGAAGGAUACAUGAUGGAUACGUGAAGACAGUUGCAAGAUAAGGGCAAAGUUAUUUUGGUGCUAAUUGAGGACGAAAUCAUUCUCAAGCGGCCUAGAUCCAAAAGAUUUGUUAUAUGAGUUGUCUCACUUCGGCAUUCGGGUGACACGAAUUCGUAGUUACUAAAAACUAAACAUUAUAAUUGAGAUGAUUCAUUUUGUUUCUUGACAAACAAAAGUCAACUUUAUCUACAUCUUUAGACAAAUUAACCAAUUAGUUGCCUUACAUAAACUAAUUAUGAAAUAAAUAUGAAACAACCGUUAUUCUCCAAAAGCUUUAAGCUGAUAGAGAACGAUGUUUUUAUAUUUUUAUAUAUAGCAUUCCCCCUCAUGUCUAGGCUCAAAACUUUUUGAUGCGCCCAUGAUAUGAAAAAUAAAAUAGGAGGAAAUCAAUUAUCCUAGGCUUCCUAGCUCCUAGGAGUCUAGCAUAACUCGAACUCUGGACCUCCUGCUGUAAUUGUAGUACACUGAAUUUUACUAUAUAUGCAAGUGUAAAUAAAAAUAGUAUAAGAUACUAUUUUUCUUGGACUUAGAGAAGUAAAAGGUAAGUCAAAAAUGACUUGUGCUGAAAUUGAAAUGAAAAUAUGUGAUUUAUAAUUUUCUGUUAGGAACGAGACUUAUAUUUCAGCUGAAAAAUUUAGUGUCAGAAAAUUAUGAAAAUUUGAAAAUAUGUCGAAACUAUUUUUCUGAGACCAGAUUUAAAAUUUCAUGUCAUUUCGACACCUGAGCAGUGAAAAACAGAGCUUGACAACAAUCUGAUAAAGAUUCUAGUCGGUAGAGCUUUCGAUGACCAAAAAUGAUUCAUAACUGAAAAGUUAAGAUAACGUACGCUUGAUUGACUUUAAUUAUGUAUGUCAAAUUUGAGAGCAAAAGGAUAUUCAAAAGGACUCCAAUUAGACGUAUCAGAUCUGAACAGGACUAAACUGCAAAUUGCAAUAGUAUUGGGGGGCUUAUAUGUAUACGCCACCUCUCGCUCUCCCUAGUUCUCCCCCACACACGAGAGAAAAGGGAAACCCUUCUCUCUUCCUCUCUAGCACCUCUCUUUCCCUUUCUCUUAUAAUUUCUGUGAGAUCCCUGGUGUUUGACUGUGGAGACUUGUCGACAGCUCUGGAGAGUGUCGGGACAAGUCCGAGUCGCGUUGGCGUCAAAUAGACGCAAAACGGACUCCGUGCGACGCGAGGGCAACUUUCAGCGAAGAAAAUCUGCAAACUGCAGAUUUUCUGCUUGCUGUACCGGUACAGCCAUCAAGGUGUACCGGUACACUACACUGGGCCGCGCGCGGGUUGCUCUCGGGUUGGCUCCUGUNGGGAGAAACCGCCUCUUUAACAGUGCGGGGCCUAAUGUGCAAGGGGCCCGUGCGGCUGUCUAGGCGGCAUAUGUUUCUUUAAAAGGGACAUAUGCUUCGCUAUCGACAUGGACAUUUAGUUUGUGAUGAUGCUUGUCAUCAUCUCUCGACGAUCUCUUUUGACUUCGAUUUAUUUUGUCUCAAAGUAUAUGUAUCAAGCCUAGGGUUUAUGUCUCGAUGAGCGUGACCGCUCAAUUCAGUUGAUACAUGUGUUUGAGCUUUGUUUUGUAGAUGGACGUCAUCCCGUGGAGAUCGAGUCGUGCAGCCCAUCCCGAGAUUGAGCGCUGCGGGAACGGAGCUAGGACUAGGUGCCUGCCACGUCGUCGGCCUUGGACACCGAGACGUUUUUGUAUCCAUUGUUGACCCGCACUCUUGAUGACAUUUUUGUUCAUCAGGAGUCACCCAUGGCGGGUUUUGUUGUAGCCAGUGGGUGAUUCAGAUGUCUUCCCUCGUUCCUAUCUUCCUUUCGUCCUUCGUGUGAGAUGGCGAUAGUAGGUGAUGUGAUAGUACGAGAUGCGAUUGGUUGACAUCCUUUACAGUUUAGACUGGGUUAGGUUUGGCCCUGACAUUCGUAUGGGCAGGGACGGGGCAACGCUGAUAGUGCGAGAUAGGUGCGAUUGACCAGGCACCUCUCGUUCAGGUUGACCGUACUCGCUGUGGUUGCGUUUUCGUGUUCGGACUGAGGCCUCACCGUGAGCACCCGCGAUGGGUUGGCUCAUACGUCGCAUAGAGACAGCUCGAGUUAGUCCGAGGUUGAUCGGUUUCAGUUCAUUAGCUGAGUUUGACCAGAUUGUUGGUUGUCCAUUGCACGGGAGCCGUGUUAGACUGCGGCUUUUCCGCUAUGCCUAGGUGGCAGUUGAGACUGCCGUGGGUUGUCAGACUUUGUUGGACUUGCUGGGACAUUUUUAGGUGAGCCGCUUGGUCGUGCUCACAUUUAUAUAAGAUUUGAUGGACCUCAUGAGCAGAGCUUCUUUGACACUGUCAUGUUAAAAGAUUGCCAAGGAUCUCGAUUUAGUCCAUCAAUUUUGACCACUGUCCAGGUUUAGCGUCCAAAAGAGGAUUAAGUUAAAAGUUCAGGUUGUACAUAUUAGAUGAAUUAAAUAUUUUGUACGAGGUUUUAAGUCUCAAGUGUUAGAUGUAUAUCAGGUACUUAAACUCGAUUGUGUUAAAUGGCUUUAGUUCUAGAUAUGUACAGCUGGUUAUUCUUGAAUCCUCAUUUCGGCUACAUUGGGUGGAGCUUUCGAUAGGGGGCCGUCGCCAUGUGAGAGUGUCGACACCGCGGUGGACGACCCAGUUAGCAUCGGAAAGCUUGGGUUCCUAGCGUGAUUGAGGUUCGAGAUGUGGUUUGUUAAGUGGCAAAGUCAGAUCAAAAGCGUCGUCACCUCAUGUUGAUCCUAAGCUGGUUCGAUUGGAAGUGGUUUUAAGCGUUCAUUCCCGAAGCACCUAAGGAGAGCGUCAGGGCUUAGGUUGCUUGGUUCAGAGCAGCGUUAGGCUACGAGGAUGCAGCUCUUGCUCGACUUUAUGAUUGUCAGCUGCCACCUAAAGUCGUUUGUUGUUAAAUGGCUCAACUUCAUCAUUUUUGAACGGGUUUUAGGUCCCUUUACGACUUAAUGAGUGGAGCUGUUGUGGCCCGUGGCGACGCUGUCUUUUUGCCGCUUUUGGAGGCGAGCGGGCCGGAAGAGCGUCGUUGUGCUGCUGCCUUCAUACGGGCUUGCCGAGGCGCCGCGCUGCAGCCGCUGCUUAGGCUCGAGGGAGAACGGAAGUUGGCCUACCCUCUCACUCUCUCUACCUCUUAACGUCGUUCUUCCGGAGAGAGAGAGAGGGAUGUGCUUUGAUAUAUCUCCCCUCACUCCCCUCUAUGUUUGCUCCCUCUCUUUUAAUGAGUAAAUCGGGAGAUGGAUGGGAGAACAUGGCCAUGUGCCCGAGGACAUGGCCAUGUUCUCGGUUGGGCUCUCGUCGAUUUAGACACGCGCAUCGAACAUGGCCAUGUCUUUUGGGAACAUGGCCAUGUCGUUCGUAAGGGGCGCGACCAACAUGGCCAUGUCGUAGUAGAACAUGGCCAUGUCGUUCGUCCUUUUAGACGACAAAACGUCUAAGGAAGCGCUAUUCGACGGGAGCGCAGCGUGCCUCAGGCAAAAUGCAGAUAAACUGCGGUUGCGCUGAGCCCGAACAGGGCUGUGAGAGAUCUCGACAGCUGUUCGGAGGUGUCAGUUUGUCAAAAAAUUGGAGAUUUUGGAAGCUUCAAGUUGGAGAAAAAGUAACACCUCUCUUUCCCUAUCUCUUAUAAUUUCUCCGUCAAAGAGGGAAAAAAAUUGGAGAUUUUGGAAGCUUCAAGUUGGAGAAAAAGCUUGGAAGAGCUCUCUAAUGGUGGAUCUCUUGCUUAAGCAAGAAGAAGUUGGAAAGCAUGGUGGCCAAGGUAAGAUUUCAUCGAUUUGAGUUAGAGUUUGGAUUAAAUUCUUUGAAAAUGAUAUUUUUGGAAGUCCUUGAUGAUUCUAAACUAGAUUGGGUAAAGGUUUACCAAUUACCAUAGAUUUUGGAGUUUUCUUAUAGAACUUGAAACCUAGGGUUAGAAUUGAGGUUUUUGCCCCUAAGAGAUUUGGAACUAAAUUGACCUUAUAAAUCCCUAAUUAAAGGAUAGUUUGACGCAAGGGACAACUUCGAUUUGAAUUACGACGAAGUUAUGGCAUCCAAUUGGAGAAAUUUGAGGAAUUUCAUUCGUUAGGCUUGAAGCAUGUCGAAUCGGCGUCAGAAAUCAAAUUGCUUGGAAAUCCUAGCAAUUGGCAAUCAACUAAGGUGAGUAGUGCUCUCCGAAAUGGUUGGAAAUCCCAUUCCUUGAACAUAUGUAGAUGUGAAUAAAUUGUAUGUAACAGGGUUCAAUUAAUUCUUAUUCCAGAAAUUUGUAUGCCUUCUGUAAUAUAUGAGAAUAAUUGUGAUUGAGAACUUCAAACUUAGGAUGCAUAAACUUGGUGACAUGUGAACCCUAGUGAUGUAUUGAAUUAGUAGUUUGGACAUAGAAAACAAAAGGUGGACAUUGGAAUAAAGUUAAUACUAGGUGCCAUUAUGAUGUUAAACGUAAACCUAGUGAUGGAACAAUGGAUUGGAUAUGAUUUGUUAUGGAUAAAAAGAAUAUGGCAUAAAUUGAGAGAAUCCCAAGUUUAAAUAUGGAAUUGAGUCAUUGCAUGUUUACUUAUGUCCACAUAAUGUGGUGUUUGAAUACUCCAUUGAUGCACGCAAUAUAAUUGUGUGGAAUAUCUAGUACAAGUACAGAAAAUUGGGUCGAUGCAUGUGUAGCGUGACAACUAGUGCUUUGAUAAUAUUAAGCAUGCGAGGGAUUGAAAGAUAUCCUCUACACCAUGCUAGGGAUUGAAAGAGAUCCCUUGUUGUUAUUGUUGCCACCGGUAGGUAGUAGGUCCACGGGACAGGAGAACAGGAUCAUACUCUUAUAGUCUGUACUUGGUUUGUGGAGGUCACACGAAAAUAAGGUAGGGUCACGACAGUGCCUACCUGGCAAACGGUCACGGUGGUAGCUCGGGAUUGAAAGACCUCCUCCCCACGUGACUUGGUGAUGUAAGUUGUGGCUCAACCUACGGGUGAGCCGGUGCAAUUGGAUCAAAGAGGAAAGAGAUAGUUGAUUGACCAUAUUGUAACCUGUGCCAUAUUGCAUUGUUGCAUCCUGUGUAGAGAGUAAGCAUAAUGGAUUCACAUGUUGGGUGAUGGAUCGAUCAUGUUAUCCUUGUGAGAAGCCUAAAAUGGGUGAGAGAGUAGUGGAGCUAGUUCCCAUGAGGCUGAGAGGGGUGAAUUGGGCUAGAUUUUGUGGAAGCCCCUGAUUGGGUCGAGAAUGAGUUGGAUCAAGAGUGAGUAAAAGAGCACAGUUAAACAUAUUGGAGUAUAAAAUUCAUUCCCUAUUGUCGUAAAGGCAUAGUGGUUGCUUAAAUUUCUAUAUAUGCUCAGUGUAGUUGCAUUAUUACUUACCUAUUAUUUUAUCUACUUAUGCCUGAUUAUAGCUGUAGCGUACUGAGUUUCGAAGUACUAUACUAAACUUGGGCGAAAUGGACAAAGUACAAUUGAGAGUGAUUUGAACACAAAUGGAAAUGAGAUUUGAGGGUUUUGAAAUGAUUAGAAGUGGAUUAGAGAUUAAAGGAGCGAAACGAAAAUUUUCGAAAAUUGCGUUUUUGGGCUUUGGACCUAUAGGGUCCAAACCCUGAAGCCAAGGUCCGGAACUUGACUGUGCAGUGCGAAAGCUACGGGUCGGACCCUGAACCCAAGGUCCGAACCCUCCGCUCGCAAAAUGCACAGUACAGGAGGUUUUUGGCAAUUGUAGCGCUCCCCCUUUAAAUAUAAACCCUCCCAGCUCCUCUCUCAUUUUCUCCCUCACGCACAGGGAAAAGAGAGGAGAACCCAUCUCCUUCCUCUCCUCUUCCUCUCCUCUUCCUCUCUCUAGAUCCAACUUCAAGGUGGAGUUUUUGGAAGAGAUCGAGCUCGAGAAGCUUGGAGUGAGAAUCAAGCUCUAGCGCGCGUUGUGGCUCAGGAAGCUUGCGAUUUGAGAUGAGUUCUUUGGAUUAAAGUUUAGGGUUUUUGUUAAAUCCCUUAGGCCCCGUUUGGAUACCCCUAAAAACAUAGUAUAGUUAAACUAUACUACAACAAUAGGAAAUAAUCCUGUGAAGCGUUUGGAAGAAAAAAAAAUGAUGUAAUUUUUGGAGUAUAGUUAUACUAUAAUCCAAAAAAUGGAGUAAAAUUACAAUCCACUUUAAUCAAAGUCAAAAAAUUCCACCAUUUUUGGUUCUCUUACCCCAAAGAUGUAUCAAGUUCUAAAUUUUAAAUUUCAACAUAAAAUUUUAAAUUUCAAUCUAGAUUUUAAAUUUCAAAUUUAAAAAUUUUAAAAUUCAUUUUAAUUUUGAUUUUAAAUUUUAAAUUUUAAAUUUCAAAUUUCAAAUUUUAAAUUUCAAAUUUCAAAUUUCAAAUUUCAAAUUUAAAACAUAAAAUCUAAUUUAAUUUUUAAAUUUUAAAUUUUAAAUUUUAAAUUUUUAUUUUUAAAUUUUGAAUUUUGAAUUUUGAAUUUUAAUUUUUUAAAAUUUUAUUUUUAAAUUUUGAAUUUUGAAUUUUAAAAAUUUAGGAAUUUAAUUGUUAUAAAUCUUAUGGAAUUGUAUGCUAUGUAUUCAAACAGUUUAAAAAUGAAGCUGUGGAAUUUUUUUAUGGUUACAAGCUCCCGUAUUUCAUUUAGACCAAAACAACAGAAUAAAAAUUCAAUGGAGUUUUUUAACUAUGAAUCCAAACAGGGCCUUAAAAUUGAGAUUCUAGAGUUCCCAAGAUGAUUCUACACUAAUUUAAUCAAGAUUUCUCCUUGGAUUUGGGAUAUUUUUGGAGAAAUUGGAAUCUAGGGUUAGAAUUGGGGAUUUUUGUCCCUAAGAGAUUUGGAACUAAAUUGACCUUAUAAAUCCCUAAUUAAAGGAUAGUUUGACGCAAGGGACAACUUCGAUUUGAAUUACGACGAAGUUAUGGCAUCCAAUUGGAGAAAUUUGAGGAAUUUCAUUCGUUAGGCUUGAAGCAUGUCGAAUCGGCGUCAGAAAUCAAAUUGCUUGGAAAUCCUAGCAAUUGGCAAUCAACUAAGGUGAGUAGUGCUCUCCGAAAUGGUUGGAAAUCCCAUUCCUUGAACAUAUGUAGAUGUGAAUAAAUUGUAUGUAACAGGGUUCAANCUAGAGUUCCCAAGAUGAUUCUACACUAAUUUAAUCAAGAUUUCUCCUUGGAUUUGGGAUAUUUUUGGAGAAAUUGGAAUCUAGGGUUAGAAUUGCGGAUUUUGGGGUUCUGAUGUUUUGAACCAAAUUGAUCCUCUAGUUCUCUAAUUGAAUGUUAGAAAAGAGCCCUAGACAACUUUAUUUUGGAAAUCGACGGGCAUUCGAUGAUCCAUCAAUUUAAGAUCGGAGUUAUUGAUCUUUAUCUAGGUAGCGAAUAGAAUUUUCUAUUAAAAAAUCAACCUAUUCCAAUUCUUUUACACCGUUAAACUAGUAAGUAUCACAUACCGACCGUUAAAAAUUGUCAAUUUUGUGAACUUUUGAUCGUAAGGUAAAUGAUAUUAAAAAAUUAUUAAAUUUGAUUUCUAUUAGUUUUAAAUGCUCUAGAUAACGUUUAACGGUAUGGAUCGCCGAUUCGAAAGCUCUAUGAUCGAAAACGACUUAUGAGUACGAAGACGAUCGUGCACAUAAGAGAAUUGAGCUAAAAUACUCUCAAAAGCACCAACCCCUUGGUGCUUUUGAGUUUCGAACCCUUGGAUCUACUCCUUGAUUACUAAUAAUCUCUGGAUCAAACACUAUUCCACCUACCACCACCUACCACCAUCAUCUCAACCCUACAUCUCUCCAUCCAAUGGCUAAAAACUUAAAAGUACCAAUGGCUACCACCAUCAUCUCAACCCUACAUCUAUCCAUCCAAUGGCUAAAAUCUCUCUAUCCAUUCAUAUCUAGGCAUAUAUAUAUAUAUAUAUAUAUAUAUAUAUGAAUGGAUGAAAUAGGUUGAAAAAUAGGUUGAAUAUCACUAGGGACAUUAGUGAACUCAACAAGGACUAGAUGUUAUGAAAUUAUAAAUCCUAGGUGUGGACAACUAGAAUAAAGAAAGAACAUGAUUGGAUAUUGAAUCUAGUGUCAUUGAACAUAGAUUGGAAAAUAUAGUGGUAGGAAGACCACUUGUAUUGGAAUGUCAUUGAACCUAGAGUCAAGUGAACCUAGAUGGGAAGGACAUAAGACCUAGUGUUGUUGAACCUAGGUUAUGAAACAUAGUAGUAGUAAGAUGACCACUUAGAUAUGAGAACAUGAACCUAGAGAGGUUGACUUGGAAAUGGAGGGAUGUGCAUAUCUAGUGAUCUUGGUGAUCUUGGUAUUAGAGCUCAGGUGUGCGCAACAAUUUUGCUGCCAUAGGCUUGAUACCUAGGGCGUGUGCAACGAUUUGCCGCCUGGUGACUUGAUCCAUUGUUGGCGUGUGCGAUGAUUUCACCGCCAAGUGGCUAAGUCAGGAAAAGGAUUACGCCGCCCAACGACUUGAGCCAUUAUGUGCGACGAUUUCGCCGCCAGGUGGCUAAGUCAAGUAAAGACGGUAAACUGUGAAUGAUUGACUCAAGACCGAGUCGGGUGAUAUAACUUGGCUAAGGUAAGAGAACCUUAGGAGUGAAAUGGAAAUUAGAUGAAUAUUGAAAUAGAAAAGUAGAAAAGGUAGAUCUACUUGCAUUAUUUACAUUAUCGCAUUUAUUUAGGCAUAAGCAUGGAUGUUUGGUUAUUUGCAUAUAGUAGCGUUAUGCUUACACAGUUAUAUGUUUAUUUAUUAGACUAACCUGCUUAUGUUGCCUCCUUUGGACCUGUGGGUUGAGCUCUUCCCUUGAAUGGCCGAACCCACUGGGAACUAUAUUUAUAGUUCUCAUCUCCAUGUUUUAUAGGUUCGCAUGUGAGCGGCGCAGCGGCGCGAGAAAAUGGCGUAGCUCGAUAGAUAGCACCCUACUACUGUGUGACCAAAAAUAGAUGCACCCUCGAAUAGCUUAGCUUAGGAUAUAGAAAAGAAUGAAAGGAAAAAAUGUAAUAAAGUUGAUUGUAUUUGGAAUAAUCAAAAUGUAAAUGUGAAUGUGAUUAUGAAUGAAUGCUUGUAAUAGCAUACUGGUUUAUGUUUAUGAUGCUUUCCUUAUAUAAUCUAUGUAUGAAUUUUGUUCCUGUUUGGAACCACUUGAAUUGCACUGAUUGUCACGCCUUCGGCGGGCAGGGAAAACUCUAUCCGUUCGGCAGGUUUGGCGCACGCGCCCGUGCGGAGCUCCUUCCGCCAAAUUGGGGAAGGGACGGCGGGGAAUGACAGUAGCCGAACCCACUGGGAGCUUCUUUUAGUUCUCACCCUUUUGUUUUGGAGCCAUUACUUUUGCAGAGCGGCACCGGACCGAGGCGUGGGCACUGCGCCUUAGAUAGUGGGGUCACCAAGUAUAGGUUACCCGUGUAUAAGUAAAAGGAAGGAUUGUAAAGGUAUUUGGAAUGAAAAUGUAAUAGAGAAUGAAAAUUGUAUUUGAUGAAAAUGGCAUGUACCAUGUAUUAUGUAUCAAAGUUGAGAAAUAUAUGUAAAAUGUGAUUGUUGCAAUGUUGUAAUAGUUAGAUUUACAUUCUCGCUUUUGUGAUAUGCCCUCGUGCAAAACUGUGUUAUGUUGUUUUUUCUAUGUGAAAUUCAAUGUACUUAUUUUGUUUACACCUUGGAUGGAUAGGAGAAACUCUGUCCAUUCGGUGGUCUGUGCAUGCGCCCACAUGGCCUCCACUGUGCAACGGGGCGGGGCGUGACAUUAAUACCAUGUUAAAUAAUGCAAAACAACCGUUAUUCUCCAAAAGCUUAUGCUGCUAGAGAACGGUGUUUUUAAUAUUUAUAUUCAACAUUCCUCCUCACGUCUAGCCUCAGGACAUUUUGGUAGGCUCAAGACAUAAAUUAAACGGAAGGAAAUUAAUAAUGCUAGGAGCCUACCGAGACUCGAAUUCAAGACCUCCCGCUCUGAUAACUGAUACCAAGUGAAAUUAUGUGAAAACAACCGUUAUUCUCCAAAAGCUUAAGUUGGUAGAGAAUGAUAUUUUUAUAUUUCUAUAUUCUAUUCAAUCAAAGAUCUCUCUUUUUUUUCUUGUAUCAAAAAUAAUUUUUCUCUAUUACUGUAUACCCUAUGUAUCAUAUAUUAAGAUUUUCCUAAUUUCUCAUAUAGCCACAUCCACAUCGUACCGUAUCCAUACCCCGUAUCACAAAGGCUAGCAUGUUAAUAUGUAAUAUACGAAAAUGGAUGGAGUUAAUAAGAGAUGUGGAACUUGAUUUCAGAUCUAGACUAUAAUUUCGUCCAUAUAGUUGUGAUUAUAUUAUUAACUCCAUUAGACUACCAAUUGGAAAAUGACAGCAUCAUUAAUAGACAUUUCUUUUGUUAAAAUUAACACCUUAAGGACAUUUAAAAUCAAGGUCAAACUUCACGGUUAAAAUUGACACUCAAAAAACGAAUUUCAAAUUGGGACCAAACUUUGGGAUUAGAUUGUUACGAUUUCAAUCCUAAGGACAAAAUUGAAACCCUGGUAAGGUUUUAGGGAUUAAAUUUGUAAGGAUGCCAAUUGAUAUUCAUUCUAUAUUCAAUAACUAGAUAAAAUAAUAAAAUGUUUGUUUGAACUAAGAUAAAAUGUGCUACUAAGCAAAAGCAAAAUCUUGAAUUUGGUGUUUGUAUACCUACUCUAGAGAGAAGCCAUUGUAUGUGAUUGUAAAUUUGUAAUGAAAAAACUAUCGGUACUUCUACUAAUACUUGCACUCAAACAUUCUUUUCAGAGCUUUUAAUGUUUUCAAUUAAAUAAAAAUAAGGUGUUUGUUGUCAUCAAUGCCAUCAACCUUUUCUUGUUUCCUUUAAAAAUAGAUAGGGAGACAGAUUAAAUAGUGAUUCCUUUUUUGAAAAGAAUCACCAUUAUUGUCUUCGUACUCGGAAACAACUAAGUUGAUGUCCAUACAAUCUAUCCAUUAGAUGACCCAUAUCAAAUCUAUUUUCAUUCCGGUAAGGAACUCUUGUUCCUGAAGAGGUACUCUAAAAGUGUGUUCUCCUUCUCAAAUUCACAACAUCCAACUACAGUUCACGGGUUUCAACUACACCAAGAUGUCCUUCAUGAUUCAAUUUUCGUACGUACUUGAGCUAAAUUAUGUCACAAAAAUGUGUGGCCAGCCAAGCAACAUAAUUAUUGUAAUAGAGAAAUGUAAAUUAAGGUUUAUGAGAAACCUAAAAGGACUCUCUAGCCUCUAAAAGGUGAGAAGUGGCACAUGUUAGAGCAUUAUUUCUCAGGCAUAUGUGUACCUGUUGAACUCUGUUAUAAACCUGAAGUGGAUAGAGCACAAUAAUGGAAUAAUCAUAUUAUUCAUUUUGAACAUUCUCACCAUAAGCGGGAGGAUUCGCAAUAAUUGCCUGAGCCCUAAAAGGUGCCCCGGAAUCCAAAUCAGGUUCUGUACAUGCUGGAAGAAGGGAAUAAAUAACUUCCUUCAGUUGCUUCCGCUGUAAAGAAAUUUCUGCUGGUCCAGAUAGCAGAAAACCUUUGUUUCUUGCCAUAUCUGUCAUUUGCAAUCCCGGAAAUAAAUAAAUACAAGAGGGAAAAAAAGGAGAGGAAGCUUCCAAAUUAGGAAGCAAACAUUAUAUAGUUGUAGCUUGUAAGCAGAUAUAUGAUGAAUUGUGUAUGAUGAAUUAUAUAAACAAGAAAUCUUUGAUAAGUCCCAGAAAUUCAGUAAAGAACCAUACACGCAGCCAUGAUGCGAGGAUCACCACCCAAAGGGUAAAAGCCAAUACCAGCUGACUUGACGAAAGCAUGGAAGUUGACAUGAGUUGCCAAUCUAACAUGAUGACCAAACUCCUGCAAAGUUAUUGGGUCUCACAAGUAGAAAAAGAAAAAUAUUGGCAAUAGCAAUAAAAGCCUACAUCUUUUUCAGGAGAAGAGACCUGCUUUUACAUCAAAAUAUGAAAUAUCUCCAGAUAUUGUUCAAAAAGAUCUGUUACUGAAGAUUGAAUUUCUUCCAUUUGUAAUCACAAAACAACCAUGUGAAACAUAGGUUCGUCCACAAAAUCAAGGUGAACAUGUUGGUUUGCUCCAAGGUCUUAAGCAUUAUGGAAAGGGGGAGAUAAAUAUAAACAAAUUCACAACAAAUUGACAACCAUGCCUGAUUGGCUUCAUGAGCAAUAGCUUUUAUAUCCUAACGUGCGAAAAUGCAGUUCCCACCACACUACUUGGUGCGAGAAUGUUUGUCUAAAAAAUUCAGUACUUCUACAAGUCAAAUGGCAUCCUAAGCAAGAAUUUAAGUACCCAUCGGCACGGACCAUAUCUACCGUGCCGUAUCGUACCAACAAGAUAUUAACACGAUACAGCCCUCGUGCUGAUGGAACAACUCAAAACCCUCUAUUCUUUAAAUUAGUAAAUAAUUUUCUCAAUAAAGUUCAAAAGAUUUGAUAAAAAUACAUAAUAAAUAGUUAGAAUAUUUUGUUGCUAAAGAAAAAAAUAUUUCAUACUAUUAUGUGUCGACACACAUGAAUUUUUUGUGACAGGCACGCAUCGGCACAGCCUGGCACGCACCAUGCCAUAUUGUGCCAGCAAGUUCCCAACGCAACCCUGUGCCACAGCACUUAAAUCAUUGAUCCUAAGGUAUCGUAAUCGAUUAUAGACAAUUCAACAUUAACACGUGUAGAAAAUAAGAUGGAGGCUUGCAAGGAUACAUGCCUGCAGUCUCUUGGCAAGUGCUAUAAAAGGCUGAACAUCUCCUCGUGUUCCAACUACAAGCAUUGCAAUCUUCAGUCUUGGAACUGAUUUGCUGUAUCCAAAGGGAGUUUGUUUAAUUUCUUCAGCAUCUAGCGGAGCAUAAUCGACAGCAUCAAGCUCUAAUAGUUCUGAUGCAACAUGAGCAUUACAAGUAACAUCCACCUCCACCGUUCCAUCAUUCUGUAUCUUCACCAAUUUCUCAAUGAUCUUUUUCUGAAAAAGAUAUUCUUAGCUAUCAGCUACUUAAGUGAUGAUAUCAUACUAAUAGCAACUAGCACAUGGAAACUACUAUUUUUCAGCAAAGAUACCAUAGUUAUUCUAAUAUCAGAACAUCUGUUAAAAAAGGAAGAUAAAUCUACACAUAAAAAAAGGGAAAACUUCAAAUACCAACCCUAUGGUUUUGCCUUUUUUUCACUUUAGUACCUUGUGGUUUAAAGUGUAUCAAUUUAGUACCCUGUGGUUUCGCACUUUCUCACUUUAGUACCUUGUGGUUAAAGUGCAUCAAUUUAGUACCCUGUGGUUUCAUUUUUCACUUUUCAUCGGCUCCUAUGUUAAUAUUUUGUUAAAUUAUAUAUAAAAAACUUCAGAUACCCUACCUAACAUUUUCAAGUAUUUACUUAAGUACCCUUUUGUUUUAACUUUGUCAUUGAUUUUUUUUUCCUCCGUUAAUAUUUCGUUAAAUUAUAUAUAAAAAACUUUAGAUACCCUACCUAGGUUUAUCAAAUAUUCAUUUUAGUACCCCUUAAUUUUAACUUUGUCAUUAAUUUAACGAAAAAAAUUAGUGAAAUGGAUAAUAAAAAGAGAAAAAUAAAACCACAGGGUACUAACUUGAUACACUUUAAACAACAGGGUACUAAAGUGAGAAAGUGCGAAACCACAUGGGCUAACUUGAUACACUUUAAACCACAGGGUACUAAAGUGAAAAAGUGUGAAACCACAAAGGGGGUAUUUGAAGUUUACCCUAAAAAAAACUAUUUGCAGACACACCCCAACAAAAUUAUAUUUUCACAUAGCCCUCGAAAAAGUUAGUUUUUUACGUACGAGUACCCCUUUACUUACAAAAGUACUUCUCAUUCAGAUUUUUCUUCAAUUUAUGACCAACUUUCCCACGAAAUUGAGUGACAACCCAACUUAAUUCGAGGAUUAUUAGUGAAAAUUCAGAUAUUGAAGAGCAAUAUUAAUGGUUGAUUGUGGAGGGACAUAUAUAUAUAUAUAUGGAGUGCAUUUAGAAACACCAAUGUGUUGGUGCUAUAGCCUUUUUGGCCAUUAGAUCAACCCUAGUGGCCCUUGGAUCAUGCACAUUGGGGAGCCCACAAGUAAUUAUUAUUGUUGACUUUUGAUCCCAUGGCCAAAGGGCUAGAUACAAUGGCUAAAAAAUUAUAAGCACUACGGCCUUGGAGUUUCUAGAAGCAUUUCAACUCAGUUAUACACACACACAGUUAAACUACUAUGCUUUCGAAAGCAUGGAGGCCUCUAUGCUAUCAAGUCAUUUUUGACGUUGGAACUUCCAAAUCGAUGAUCGGCUCUGUUAGAUUGAUCUGAAGUAUUGGAAGUACCUAGAAAACAAAUUUUGCGAUGUUUCCAUAUCAUUUACGUAGUGGUCGAAAGGGUUCAAAAUCAAUAGCUGAAAAUAAAAAUUUUCGAAAACGUGAUGACAUGACACCAAACAUUUAGAUCAAAAAUAGUAAUCUUGUUUCAUAUAGUAUAAAAAAUUUUAUGUCAAAUUUCACGUGAUUUAGAUAUUUCUAUACCAUUGAACUUGCAAACAGCUCACCACGACAAUUAAAAUUGUUGAUUUAGAGCCUUGCGAUCACUAGGUAAAUGAUAUCAAAAAAUUGCAAAAUUUAUUUUUCUGGUACUUCAAAUACUCUAGAUCAAGACUAAUAGAACCGAUCAUCAAUUCGGAAAUCUCAACAUCAAAAACGACGUGAUAGCACGGAAGCCAUCGUGCUUCUAAAAGCACACAAACCUAGCUCAUAAUAUACAUACAUACAUACAUACAUACAUACAUACAGACAUACAGAGAGAGAGAGAGAACGAGAGAGAGAGAGAGAAGAAGCUGGUUAUUGUGCUUUUUUAAAAGCACUAAACACUUGGUGCUUGUAAGUUUUCUACCAAUAGAUCUAUCCCUUUGACCAAUUUAACCCCUUAUAUUAUGCUAUUCCACCAAUCACCCACUCAAAUGUUCCUGGGGCUUAACUGUUGGAAUGACUAUAAUAUUAGUGACUAGCCGACACAUUUGUAGAGUGUCGGGACCAGUCGGAGUCGUUUUGGCAUGAAAUAGUCGCGUAAACGAACUCGGCGCACUCAAAUAAGCCAAAACUGAAGUUCUGGCAGUUUACAGCGCCCAAAAGUUGGUUUAAGGCGCACAGAUUCAGAGUGUUGUUUGGUUUAUGUUGCUGAAGUCAUUUCGGGCCCAGUUUAGGGCACUCGAAAUGUGAGCCCGAAUUCUCCCUCAUGAAUAUCCAUUGUUUUGACACGUAGCGUGUGGUAGGUGUGAGCCGCCAUUGCAGGUUAGGCACAUCGAACGCGCGGAUGAGCUGUUUUGCUGAAUGCAGUGGUGAGCUGUUUAGAGCACAUCGAAUGGCUAUAGUAUUAGUGACUAGUCGACAUAUUUGUAGAGUGUCAGGACGAGUCGGAGUCAUUUUGGCGCAAAAUGGACGCGAAAAAGGACUCGUUUUGGCAUUAAAUAGAUAUGAAAAUGGACUCGACGCACUCAAAUAAGUCAAAACUAAAGUUCUAGCAGUUUACGACACCCAGAAGCUGGUUUAGGGCGCCCAGAUUCAAAGUGUUGUUUGGUAUGCUGAAGUCAUUUCGGACCCAGUUUAGGGCACUCGAAAUGUGAGCCCGAAUUCUCCCUUAUGAAUAUCGAUUGUUUUGACACGUAGCAUGUGGUAGGUGUGAGCCGCCAUUGCAAGUUAGGCACACCGAAUGCGCAAGUGAGCUGUUUUGCUGAAUGCAGUGGUGAGCUGUUUAGGGCACCCAAAUUUUGGGUUUAGGGCGCCGAAUUUGUUGUUUCAGUACCGAGGCAGGUUAUGUUCUAUUUUUCCUGUGGCUCAUUAUACCCCUCUAUUGCUUCUAUAAAAGCAAUGGGACAUCCCCUGAGAACUCUUUUCCAUUCUCUUCACAGCAAGGUUCAAUUGCUCCACCAAAUGUCCCUCAAACCUCCUCAAAUCCUUCCUUACUCCCUGCAGGUGGGCAUUCACAGCAGCAGCAACUUCAGCAGUUUGAGGAAUUGUGAUCUGUUGGAGCUUCCAAUUGCUGUGGGGAACAAUUUCGUGGAUUGUAGACUCGAUGGAGAGAGUGCGGCACAAUUCUAACAAGGUUGAAUUUCUAGAUUUAACUCGAAUUUGAGUUCUUGAGCUGAAAUUGGGAUUUAUGGUGGAUUUCUAGGAUUUUUCUUUGUUAGAUUUUCGGAUUUGGAAUUGCUUCCUCAUCCUUCCUCACUAGUGUUGGAGCUUCUCUCACCAAAAUUUUCAGAUUUGAAGGUGAGUUUAACUCAGAUUUUGAGUUAUUUGAGAAUGGAUACAGUGUUUGGCACGUUGGUGGAUUUAAUGAAUGUUGGGAUCCAAAUCUUUGUAGUGAGUUGAUUGCUGAAUUUGGAUGGGUUCUUUUCUCAUUUCUAGAACUUUUAGACCCCUUUCCAUUGAAUUUAUAGGUUAGAAUUCACAGAUUUUUCGCUCAAUUGAAUUUGAAUUACUGUAGUGCUGAAUUCUAGAUGUUGAUUUGGGCCUCCCUUUUUGGAUCCGAAUUGCAGCUAAGGGGCUUGCAGUGCUGGUUUGAGCUGUUUGAGCUGAGAGCUAGUGGAGAAACAUAAAUUGGGGUUUGUGCCUACUACUAGCAGGUGAAUUUGAUCAAGUUCUAAACUUUAAUUCCUAAUUUUUCACCCAUUACUCCAUCUUUAAAACCUACUGUUCUGGGCUGCAACGAGCUGAUCCGGGCUGGCGUUUGGGCGUCCAGAUUGUUGGAUUCUUGCUGUGAAGCUGAUUUAUAGUGGAGUGAGCUGGUUCCUUUGCUCAACAAGUGAGGUCCCUUUCCGUGGUUGGAUACGCUAUCAAGGUGGAUUAAUGUCUACCGAAUUCUUCUGAAUUCCUUCUAAGUUUUAUGGAAUUUCAGCAUGUCUUAUUAUGUAUGAUUCAUCAUAUUUAGUAGCUCAAAUUAAUAGAUUUGCAUGUUAAUAUAUGAAAUCUGAAUUUGGAGAUGAUUUAGAUAUUUUAGAUGAUUACUACAUGCUGAAUUAGGAAUUGACUUAGGAGAAACCUACACACUGAACUUGUCAUUUAUUUGAUCAAAUUUAGCUUCAAGAGCUGUUUUUACUAUUGUAUCGCUGCUGUUAGUGCGUUGCAGAUACUCAGAUUGGUAUAGGUUGAGAUUACGCUCGUGCUGAGAUGUCGAGUGGACUUUUACAACAGUGUUUAGACUGUGCCGCAUUGUCAGGUACCGUUUAGAUUGACGGAGGUCCCAGAUCCUUACUUUUUGCAUCAGACUGUGCCGAGGGCACGUGAGUUUGGUGAUAGUAGUAUGCCCAAGUAGCCAAUCGGCUAAUACACAUUAUACUAGUGCUUGUAUGAUUGCACUGGGCAUUUAUGUAAUAUAUUUAUAUAUAGACAUAGUGAGUUGUUUUUAUUCCAUUCAUGUUAUUGUAUGUCUGUGAAUCAUCCAAAGAUUAACAAGAUGAUGGCAUGUAUUUUCAAGAGUUGAGAAUUUGGAGCAUAUUUCAUUGGUAGUUAAUUCCUAAAGGCUCCCAAUCGAUGGAUCAUCACGGGGACGGUGGUGCACCCACUGAGAUUGGUGCACUAGAAGUGUCAUUUUCAUAGACGAGUCUCAAGUCUAAGUGUGGAGACACUAGAGCUAAGCGCAGGUGGUUGUUAAGAACAAGGGUACCGAGUGUGAAUCAAUACGAGAAGUCACAUUGUAAUCUACUUACUCGUCAGUGACGUUCUUGAUGCUGCAGUGAUGUUCUUGAUUCUUUGACUUGCAACAUCUCGGCUAUUCACUGAUAGGGUUGUCGUAGUUUGACUGCACAGUAUCUUAGAGAUUAGUCAUAAUUUUCUAGUAGUGCAUGUUGGCUACGACGGGUCUACAGUAGGAGUAGGAGAGUGUUCAAAAGAAUCUAUUGUCCUUAAUAGAAAGGUUAAAAUCCUAUGUGAUUUAGAUAUCUUAUUUUAAAUCUUAUUUUAAAUAGUUUAAAUAAUUUUCUAACCAAAAUUCAAUUGAUUUAGAUAUCUUUACACCGUUAAACGAGAAACAUCUCAUAUUGACCGUUAAAAUUACAAAUUUUGAAACUUUUUUAUUAUUAGGUCAAUGAUGCCGAAAAGAUUUGAAAUUUGGUUUCUAGAUACUUUAAGUGGUAUAGAUCAUGUUCAACGAUGCCAAUCGUCGAUUUGGAGGCUCGAUCAUCGAAAACAAAUACGGAGCUCGUUUGCUACCAAUAGCAUUCCAGCUCAACUCUCUCUCUCUCUCUCUCUCUCUCUCUUUAGGCAAAUGAUGUCGAAAAGAUUUGAAAUUUAAUUUCUAAACAAUUCAAGUGGUAUAGAUCAUGUUCAACGGUGUCGAUCGUCGAUUUGGAGGCUCCAUCAUCGAAAACAAAUGGGUGGCAAAAGUGCCGGUUUGCUAUCGAUAGUAUUCUAGCUCAACUCUAUAUAUAUAUAUAUAUAUAUAUAUUUGUAUUUAUUUGUAUUCAUAGAGUCCGGCUAUGGUGCUUUUAAAAGCACUAAGCACUUGGUGCUUGCAAGUUUUCCACCAUUAGAAAUCAUGCUAUUCCACCAACCAUCCGCUCAACAAAUCACAAGUAUAAUGUGUAGACAAAAUCACCUUCUCACUUUCCGAUAAUCUAUCCAGUUUUAAGUCGCACUUCGGAGAUUCCUUCUUCUCCGUACAAGAUCUAGGUAAUGCAUUCUCAAAACCUUUGAACGGCAAACUAGCCAAAUUUGAGUGCACCGGUGCUGUUUUACAAUGCGCCAAGCCUGGGUAAAAACAAUUAAAACAAGUAGAUAUCAUGUUAAUAGAGCACAAAAUGUUUAAACUAGUAACAACUCAAGAAUAAGAGAUGCUAGUACUCCAAAAAAUCCAGCAGCGGAUAUUCAGGGAUAACAUGAUCAGGAAAGAAGACGAUCAAAGCCGCUAACUCAAUUAACAGGUAAUAAUGUUUUAAGUCAAACCAUAGUCUGUCCCAUUUACCUAAAGCAUGAAAAACUUGGAAACUGAAUCCUAAUCUCUAAAGGUUAAUUGUCACUGAAGGUGUUGCAGGGAUGACCAAUAAUUAUUAUCAGUUAAUGCACAAGAACUGCACAAAGUUACAUUUUCACGUGAAAGGUUACAUCUCAUUGGGAAGGAAAGUGGCCAUCGACAUAUGGUAAAUAGGCUAGGCCGCUAGGGUACAGCAGGCUAGGGUACAGCAUCUUUUGCAAACAAUAAUUUAGUUAUGAAAAGGGCAAAAGUAUACCAUGACUAUGAUAACACUCUAGGUCAAACACGACAAGAGAGGUAACAGAAUAUUAUAAAUCAAAAUUAUCCAUCCAUACCUGCAAAAGAUAGCGCUAUAAUUAUGCCCUUCUAUAUGAAGCAUCACCUCUCACCAUUUCCGAGCAAAAUUCCAAUAUGACUUCUGUCUGGUAAAAAAACAAUCACCUCUCACAAUUUCCCAAUUUUAUCUACAUCUGACAUAGGUCUAAACUAACCAGAAAUGUUUCAAAAGAUGUGGGCAAAAAAAGUAUAAAAAAAGCUUCCACCCAACUCUCUCUAGUGUAUACUAGUCUAUACAAGAGCAGGACGCAUCUAUGAAUGAACAUCACAAAAACUGCAUCAAAGGCCCAUUUCAAGUUCAACAGGAAGAAAUAGAAACCUUCAAGCAGAGAGUUUUUAUGCAUGUCAACAGAUUUCAACAAUAGAUCUGGCCAUUUUUCGAUGUCCAAUGACAAGAUGAAACAGUGUAAAAAGACAAGAUGAGAUUUUCAGCCUGAGAGGCCUCACAAAGUGAUAGUAUCCAACAAAAUCUCUGAAUUAUAGCUGCUCAGAUGCUCCAUGUGCUUGGAGGAGAGAUUAAAAAAAAAUUUAAGUCCCCAAAGAAAGAAAGCAAAGCGACAGAAUAUAUCUUGUUUCCAAAGUUUAUGGCAGCAUAUCACAGAUUAUUGCCUACAUGUGGUUCAGACCACAAUGAGGCUUAAGAGCAGAAAACCAAUCUUUUUGGUGAUGCUUUUCUUGAGUGCAUGUAUUAUAUGGCUUUUUUUUUUAUUGAAGGGCAUAAAGAUGCUAUGAGAGGCACUAGAAGCUUUUCCAUAUAUUUCGUGCAUAAAAUUAUUGACAACUAAGGCUGGCUUCCGGAAUGCUUGCCACUAACACUAUUGACUGCUUCGAUUAAAAAAAAAUGCUGUAGACUCCAGUCUUGGGAUAAAAGGAGGUCUUUCUUUGCUAAAAAAUCAUACUCCCAAGAAAAAUAGGGCUCUUUCCAUAGAGAAAAAUCCAUAACCACUAAAUUUAGUUUCAUUUUCAUGCUACCACUUAGCAUUAUUUGCUGUGAAUGACAGAUUAGGAAGCAGAUGAAAUUCUAUGACAAAACUUUGUCAAUCUAAUCAACACCACAAAGGCUUGGCAUAUUUAGUGUGUCAUAAUCAAUUGUUGGUCAAAGAGCAAGCGCGCCAAAAGUGUAGAUGUAAAAUAUUGAACUUCAGUUUAGUCUACUAAACUUCGGCCAAAAAGGAUAAACUACAGAUGAAAUUGCGAAAACACAAUUUGGACGAGUUGAAUGGCUAAAAGAUAGCUUAGGGCCAAGUUUGGAUAAAAACAUAUCGAAAAUGAAGUUUUUAGAACGAGUUUCUAAGAACUGAAAUUUCAGAAGUCCUAGCUUCCAUGGGGAAGCCCGGAUCUUGAAGUUGCUAAAACUUCAAAGUGCGAACAGAGGAAGUCAGACCCUGAACAGUAUUUGCGCAUGACAGCGCUUGGGAUCGGGGCCUUGGAAAGGAAGUCCAGAUUUUCACGCCGGUUGGGGAAGUACAGACCUUAGGGAGAUAAGUUCAGAUCUUUGCUAUAAGAUGCCCUAUCGAAUGUUCAACAUCCGGACUUUCAUGAGGAAGUUUAGACUUUUCGCAGCUAGAGCUGUUUGAGAGAGGUAUCUUAUAUCAUUUUGGUUGGAUUGAGGGGUAUAUGUGCAAUUGUUACAACCCCUCUAUAUAUAGGGGACCUCCCAAGUUGGAAAGCCACAAUCUAAACCUCUCCUCUCUCUUUCUUGCUCUCUUCCCCUCUCACACUCUCCUCUCUUGCUCCCUCUCUUUUUAGCUUUGAAGAAAACGGAGACCGAAUUCUCACUCCUCAGGACCCUAGAGUGAGAGCCUCAAGAAAUGGAAAUGAUGACCUCGGCCUAGGCGAGCUUUGCUUGAAGAAGAGCAAAAACUUGUGAUUCAAGGUGAGUAGCCCUUGAGCUCUUAAUUCAUUUUUUGGUCGUCGUCGAUUUUAUGACUCUUGUGAAGUUUUGGAGUCGAUUUGGGGUUUUAUUUGUGUUGUACACAUAAUGUUCGCAUAAUAUUGAAAAAUCUAGGGUUUUCUUGAAAAUGAUUGGAGAAUCCCCCAAAUUGGUGGGAGUUUUGGUUAUUGUGGGAAAUUGCAAGCCCUACCUGUGGCGAAAUGUGUGUUUUGUCAGACUGAGCUAGGGUUCAAGCUUUGCAGCUUAAGGCCCCAUGAUUGGAUAUGACAAGUGGUAUGAUGAAUAUUUGGAACCCUAGAGGAGUUUGUGAUGUUCCUGUCUUUCUCCUUAGGACCAAGUGAAGGUCGAGGAGCCGACGACUUCCAGUAAAUGUCGAGUUUGUGAUUCAAGGGAGUACUAAGUCCAGAAUGGUCCUGCUCCACUAUUUGGUUCGCCUGUUCCUAUCCUUCUCUCUUGUUCCCUUUUGAUAUGGUCGUCGUGCCCUUGAUAUAUGCUUGUAUGAGGAUGGAAUAGAUAUUGCAUUACUAUUGUUAAUUAGCAUGCUUAGCAUUGACUCUAUACUUAGUGAUAUCGUCUUUAUGUCGUACUUGAUCGCUUUUUAAGGGCACUUGAUAUGCAAGAUUUGAACUUACCGUCGUAGGGGCAAUCGUCAUUGAGAUUAGGGUAUACUUGUUAGAUCUGCUACUGACCCUUGAGCAUUUGCAUAGGAUUAUAAUUUGCAGCGCAGUGAAACUGAGACAAACACUGUGCGAAACCUUUAGGAUUUGGAAUAGUUCUAUAUAUAAGGUAUAGUAGGGCUAAACCUCUUAAUCCAUCUAUAGCAUUUUGGACGAUAGCUAGGCCAAAAAGGUUAAGAGGGUAAAGCAUGCUAAGGCUAAAGUAGUUCUAGAAUGGGUGACCCUCCUAGGAACCAGGGCGUCAUAGUUGACAUCAGAACCAAUCACCAGCAGAAAGUAUGAGAUGUCUCGAGUAAGCCAGGGUCUGAAAAUAACGAGCUAAGUCGAGGUCUUAAUGACAUGGCUAGCGAGGCAAGUCUUACAUCGCCUGGUGCUUGUGAGUGUUCUUGAGCCUGACAUGGACAUCAGGACUUAAAAAGGGAAGGAAUGUGACACUCAUAGGAUUUGAAAGUCCUAUAAAUAAAAUAUAAUAAGGCAAGUAAAAAAAUUAUUAAUAGACUUAAAAAAUAUUAUAAUUAAAAAAAUAGUCUUUUAAAAAAUUUAUUUACGAAAUUAUGCUUAUGCGAUGAAUAAAUUACCGUUUUUUCAAUGCAAUAAAUUAUUUGCCGCUUUCUUCAAAGCAUUAGUAUUAAUUUUAGGGUCUAAUACUCUACAUCUUUUGAUGUCAGGAUAUAGUAAUUAGAAAAUAUAUAAGUUUGGUAAAAGCGAUAAACAAUUUAUUGCUUUUAGAAAGCAGUGAUGAUUCACCGCUUUUAUCAACACCGCUUUCUAAAAACAGUAAAUAAUUCACCACUAAAGCCUAAUUUUACAAAUAAAAAUGUUGGAUGCCUAUUCUUAGAAUUAAAAAAAUUUAAAAGCCUAGUCGCCCAAAAACCCCACUAAAAUCUCUUAAUUCGGCUAUAGCAUUUUGGGCAAUGGCUAGACCCAAAAGUUUAAGAGACUUAUACAUGCUAGGACUAGAGUAGUUCUAGGAUAGAUGAUGCCCCCAGGAAGUGAAGCAUCAUUAACGUUCAUAGAAUUUGGAAUAGUGCUAUAUAUGAGGUAUAGAGUAUAGUAGGGCUAAACCUCUUAACCCGACUAUAGCAUUUUGGGUAGUGGCUAGGCCUAAAAGAUUAAGAGGGUUAACCGUGCUAGGGCUAAAGUAUUCUAGGAUGGGUGACCCCCAAAAAGCGGGGCGUCACAUUUUGGAUGGUCGCGUCUCCAAAGUUCUCUUCAGAGUAAAUAGUCGUUAUGCGGCAACCGUGGCAAUCGCACCCUUGCAUGCCAAGGGGCCGUGGUGACCAGCCCGGCCUUGUACACAAUGAAAUAACCAUGGCAGCGAGUUCCUCGCAAUGCUUUUUCAGUAAGCUUGGGUUGGCUCCCCAUGACCGAUCAGUGGUUAGAUUGGAUACAGUUGAGUAGUUGGGAUACUCAGAGGCAUUGAUGCAUGAGUAUACUUGGUUAUUGCCAUUAUAGCGUCAUGUUUACAUAAUGUAUUGAAACUCAAUAUAGUGUACCGAAUUUUUACCAAAUUGACAAAAUGCAAAUCAAAGUCAUGCUAGACGUGAUUAAAAUGGGUUUGGAGGAACUUAGAAUGAGUUUGGAACGAGUUGAAAUCAAUUCGGAUCAAAAUAAUUUCAAAAGUUGGAAUCUGAAAUUCAAACUUUUCAGACACCCGAAACAGGGUUUCGGACGCCCGAACCAUUUCGGACAGCCCAGCUAAGUACCUGGACCAAGUAGACACUCUACUGAAAACUCGAGAUCAUGAAGGAAUAAAGAAUCGGGCAUCCAAAUGGCCGUGCAAGCGUCCGAAACACCCUUCAAGUGAUUCCCAUGAGUGUCCUAACUCCUUCCGGACACUCAACUCAAGAGGACAGACCGCAUUGCUCGUUCAAGAAAUGUGCGCCCGGUUUGCACUGCAAGCGCGCGAAACUUGUAUCGAACGGACUAAGCGGGCUCCAAGAUCACCUUUCGGACACUGUUGCCGAGAACUCUAGAGGAUCUGUCUAGAUAUUUCGAGCGCCCAAAAAUUCAGGCAGCGGCCCGAAACCUGUUGCGGAAACUGUGGUCUUUUGUUGCAAAUACAAAUGAACGGCCCAAAAUGAUGUACAAAGAUUUGAGAACACAUUAUUGGUGGCCCAAAAUGAAAGGUGAUGUUGGGCGCUAUGUGGCUCAGUGCAUAGUAUGCCAACAAGUCAAGGUGAAACAACGACUCCCGGCGGACAAGUUGUAAAGUUUAUUUAUACCCGUUUGAAACCAGAAGAACAUUACCAUGGACUUCAUCGUGGGCUUAACCCUAUCACAAGAAGGCCACAAUGUAAUUUGGGUGGUAAUAGAUCAGUUGAUGAAAUCGGCUUAUUUUCUACCAAUCCACAACAUUCGAUUGAGGAAAUUGACACAGAUCUACAUCGAUGAAGUUAUGUGCCUCCGUAGAGUGCCAAGUAUGGAUCGUCUCAGAUCAAGAUCUCCGAUUCAUAUCGCAAUUUGGAAGUCUACAAAAGGCUCUUGGGAUGCGCCUCGAUUACAGCACAGUGAAUCAUCAUCAAAGUGAUGGACAAUCAAAAAGAACAAAUCAAAUUCUCGAAGAUAUGUUGCGGGUGCGUCUUGGACUAUGGAACAAGCUAGCAACAAUAUUUGCCAAUAGCGAAUUCGUCCACAAUAAUAGUUUUCAAGCCAGCACCGGGAUGGCACCCUAUGAAGCAUUGCAUGAAAGGAAAUGCCCGUCUCCAUUGCAUUGGAGCAAGGUUGGUGAGAAACCUACCUUAGACCCGGACAUGGUACAAAAGGCUGAGGAAAAAGUUCGCGAUUGCACGUCAAUGGUUGUUGACGGUGCAAAGUCGACAAAAGAGCUACUCCAACAAGCGUCAACAUGAUUUAAAGUUUAGCGUCGGAGACCAAAUAUUCUUGAAGCUCUCCCGAACAAGAUGAGUAAAGCAAUUUUGAAUGCGAGAAGGGUUAAUUCCUCGCUAUAUUGGACCAUUUGUGGUGUUGGAGCGGAUCGAACCCAUGGCAUAACGGGUUAUGCUACCCCUAGCUUGGUAGGAGUACGCGACGUAUUCCACUUGUCUCUACGCCGCAAAUAUGUAUCUAAUCUCACGCACGUUAUUAGCUAUCCAAAUCGUAGUUGCGGGAGGAUUUGAGCUAUGGCAAGAUCCAAUUACCAACAAGAGAAAGCGUUGCGAAAUUGCACCAUUCCAUAUGUCAAGGAGUUGAAGGGCAACCAAUGAGGAGCGUAAAGCUAUUCCAGAGCUCAAGAACAUAAUUCGGGAGCAUUUUUCCCACUUCUUCGGACAGUCAACUUAAGUAUGAGUUUUCAAUUUCGGGGACGAAAAUCCUUUUAAGGUGCAAGGGAUGUAAUAUGCUGAAACUCGGUAUGGUGUGCCUAACUUUGGUCUUUGGCCAAAUUACCAAAGUGCGAAUCAAAAUCCUGCUAGAUGCAAUUAUAAUAGGUUUGGAGAAACUUAGGCCGAGUUUGGAGCAAGUUAACAUUAAUUUGGAUCAAAAUAGAUUUCCAAAAAUGAUUGGAAUAUGCAUUCCAAAGUUUCCGAACACUCAGAAUAGGGUUUCGGGCACCCGAACCAUUUCGAACAACCCAAUUCAGCGCCCAAACCAAGCGGAUGCUCUAUACGAGAGCUCCAAUUCAAGCGGGAAUAAACAUUCAAGUGUCCGAAUGGCCUUGCGGCCAUCAGAAACACCUUUCGAAUGGUUCCUGCGGGUGUUUGAACGCCUUCCGGACGCUCUACGCGAGAGCUUGGACUAGCAGAGGAAUAAAGAAUCAAGCGUUCGAACAAUUGCACAGGUGUCCAAAACACCCUUCAUGUGAUCCCCGCAGGCAUCUAAAUUUUUUCCGGACGCUCAACCUGAAAGGACGGACCACGAUUUUCAUUAAACAAACUGGUGCCCGAUUUGCCCUGCAGGUGCCCAAAACAUGUAUUAGGCAGAUUAGGUGGGCGCCCAGAUCACCUUCUCGAUGCUGCUACUAAGAGCUCUAGAGAAUUUGUCUAGAAACUCUAACUUAUUUUGUGCAAAUACAUAUAAAUGGGGGGUUUGAAUGCAAUUGAAGCACUCCUAUAUAAACCUUUUCACAGCCAAACACCCUUCCCCUCUCUAGUCUCUCACACUCUUUCUUUCUCUCUCUAAAUGAAGAGAAACCCUAACUUCCUCCAAUUGUUGGAUCUCUUUAAUCCGUCUCAUUGGAGCUUGGAGGAGAUUAAGAGCAUCAAGGAGUAGCUCUAGGAGCGAGAAGGUGACCACCUCAACCACAUUUCUCUUGUUUAGAGAAGAAGAGGUGUGAGCUUUUUAGGAUUUGUUUUUAGGAUUUUUCCCAGAUGGAGGAUUUAAAGGUUCUAACUUGAUUAUAACUUCUUUUAGGAUUUCUGGAGGUUCUAGUGAGACCAAGAAGCAUCUACCAAGAGUAUUCAAGAGAAGGUAGGGAAUAUCACCGAAAUAGAUUUGAUAAAACUUGCUUGUAUCACAAAUAAAAAGGAGAUAAAACUUGCUUAGUUUGCAUACUAUGAGAUCUAAGAGGUCAAGAGGGCCUACGAGCACAUAGUCUAGGAAAAUAAGGUCUUAACCUCUUUGCUAUGUUAAAAGGAAAGUAUAUAUUAUAUGUAUGUAAAGCACUAUGUGAACUUAAAACUUAGAUGGCAUAGUAGUGACAUCAGAACCUAGGAUGAAAACCUAGAGUGUGGAACAUAGAGACACACACGGACAUCUAGGCAAACUUGAUCUAAAAGGUAUGGGAUCUUGUGAGUGAACUUCCGAAAGUGCCAUAUUGAGAUAUGUCGAUUCCCCUCGAUUCUAUACUCGAUAUCGGGAGAUGCCGAUUACCCUCAACUCCCUAUAUCGAACUUGGAGAUGCUAAUUUCCUUCGGCUCCAAGUGCCUACCGAUUGGAAAGAUCAAAGAUGUCAAUUGCUUUCGACUCUCCAUAAGGUAUUUAGGAAGAAGUGGAACCAAACCAAAGAUUUGGUUAGAGACAAGGAAUGAUUUGUGACAAUCAUAUAGGCAAAUGACAAUAGUAUAUCAUUGUGGCAUCUAGUUAUUUCAUUGAGGACUAGUAGUUGUAUUCCACCUAUUGUAGUAAUAGUAGUUUCAUUUAUUACUAUUAUUCUACUAAUGCUUCCUUUGGACCGAGUGAGUGUAAAGCGCCACUUUCAGUGGUUGCACCUAAUGGGAACUUAUUUUCUAACUCCAUUGAUGUUGUUGUUUUUUAGAGCCAUCUUCCACCGGCGAGAUGCGGGAUCACGGGAAGUGCGUCACGAGUUAGAUAAACUGUGGCUAGUCAAUCUGGUGAGUACCCUAUUUUGUAUGAACAACACUUAAAUGUAUUAUUUUGGGAAGUAAUGUGUUGUAAACCUUAAAGGCGUUAAUUUGUAAUAGAUUUAACUUAGAAGUUAAUUACUUUGAUGCUUUUUGGCAUCCAUAUUAUGUAUGUAUUGUACAAGUUGGUAUAUGUUUCCGCUUCAUGCGAAUAGGCAAAACCUUGCCAAUUCGGCGGAACUCAAGUAGCCCUGAUGAAGUUCAGGAUAUAAAAACCAUUUAGAAUGGACAGAUAUGAUUUUGAACUUCAAUAGUCAAAUCAACCACCAUAUCCCACAAUUAAACCAAGGAUUAUCAUUGUGUUCAUUUUUGGCUAGGUUCUUAAACUAAGAUGCUUCAUUUAAAAUUAAAAAAAAAAAAAAGAAGCACCAACCAAGAAACAGGUCGAGAGAGAAAUGUCAUGACAGAAUAAAUAUUCCCAUGGCAUUAUAAGGUUGAAACCUCACUAGUGAUGAGCAUAGUUUACUGGGUUAGCACAUAAUAAUUUGCAAUUUCUUUUGAAAUAUCAAGCAUAACAAUGGUCACGUAUUCAAAACCGUGUGAACAAAAAACAGUAAUGUGACAGAUUUUGAAUAGUAUAGCUAUCAUUAGAACAAUAAUUAACCAUCAAAAAGCAAUCAAACCAACCUGGACAAGGGGACAAACAGAUCUCCGAAUCUCUUGACCCAGUAAGGCCUGUCUGGAUGCACAGUAAAAAAAUUCCAUGGUGUUUAAAUACCGUGGUUUGGGUCCAAACGAAAUGAAGAAUCCUGUAACUCCAACAAAAUUCUAUAUGUUUUUUUAAAAGCUGUUUGGAUGCACAUUAUACAAUUUCACAGGAUUUCUGACAAUCUUAAAAAAUUAGCUAUUAUGGACUUUAAAUUUAAAUUAUUAGUUAUUAACUGGCUUUAAAUUUAAAAUUUAAGAGUAUUAAAGACAUCUAAAUAUAAAUUACAAUUUCAAAUUCGAAAAAUUAUGACAUUUUAGAGAGCCCACAGUUGGUGAAGGCGCUACUUGCAUGAACAUGUAAUUCCAUACAAAUAAAUUGUAAUCUUCAGGAAAUACAAAAAGGCCUCCUCACUACCUUGGCCAUGGUUACCCUCAAUGCUUUGGCAACUAGACUCCCCUUCCUCCUACAAAACCCUCUAAAACCAUUCAUGUAAAUUAAACUUUGCAUUUGAUGCCUCUAACCUGAUUCUAUCAACAACUAACAAAAUUCCAAAGCAUUUGAUCCUCACCCACAACUACAACCCCAUAUCUAAACACAAUUUCACAAUGCUGUACCAAAUCAAUAAGCUCUAGGAAGUACAUAAAAAAUACAAUAAAAUACCAUAAAUACAUCUUAAAAAAAUAUUGAAGGGAAUAUAGAUGCCACAUAAGAAAAAGACAAAAUACUCAGAUUGAUCUAGUGCAAAAAAAAUGGAUGAUGGGAGAAAUUGAAGCUAUUAAAAAUAAAAAAUAAAAAGCUAACAAUUCUCUCUUUACCCGUUGGAGGAGGAAAGUGGUGCGGCGCCUCUCCGGCCAUCGCAGGGAGAGGGGCGGUUGGGGAGCGGUAGCGAGGGUACGGCGUUGGUGAGAGAGGAGCGAGGCGAGAGCUCGACGGCGGCGGCAGCCGUGGCCGAGAUGAGUGCGUCGGCGGAGGCGGUGGCCGACGUGAGGGCGGGGGCGGAGGCGGCAGCCGAGGUGAGUGCGGCUGCGGAGGCGGCGGCCGAGGUGAGUGCGGCGGCGGAGGCGGCGGCCGGGGUGAGUGCGACUGCAGAGGCAACGACUGAGGUGAGUGCGGCGGCGGAGUCGGCAGACGAGGUGAGUGCGAUGGCGUCGGUGGCGGCCGAGGUGAGUGUGGAGGCGAGGGAGGGAGGUAAAAUAGUUGGGGGUGUGGAGAAGUUGGAGGUUGGAGAGGGAGGGAGAUCAGGGUAGAGUCGGUAGACUCUGGAGAGUAAAAAAAAACGAAAAAGGGGGCGUGCGUGCGCAAGAGGCACGCCGAAAAAUGGAGUUUUGAUUUUGGAGAAAUUUUUGAAUUUGAGUUCAGGGUUAAAAUAGAGUUAGAAUAAUUUUGUGUUUGGUAGAGAAUUAAGUUUAGUCCAGAUAAGUAUUUGCUUAGAGGAGCUAAAAUAAGAAGAAUAGUAGGUUGUUAUAAAUAGAAAAUAAUAAUUUUGCUCCAAUUUUUAUAUUUGAGUUUAAAAUUUUAUUUUAUAUUUCAAAUUUAAAUAGAUAACUUUUAAAAUUAAAAAAUUCAAAUUAAAAUUUAUUUUUAAAUCUCAAAUUUAAAAAUUUAAAUCAAAUCUAACAAAUAUAAAAUUUUAAUAAUUAAAAAUAACAAUUUAAAAUUUAAAAUUUAAAUUUAUUUUAAAAUUUAAAUUUAAAAUUUAAAAAUAUAAAUAUUAAUUUUAAGAUUACAAAUUAAACAUUUUAAAAAUUACAAAUAUAAAAUGUCAAAUUUAAAUUUUAAAUAAUUAAAAUUUAAAAAUAAUAAUAUUAAUUUUAAGAUUAUAAAUUAUAAAUUUUUAAAAUUUUUUAUUUAAAGUUAAAAUUUUUAAAUUAUAUUAAAAUUUUAAUUGGGAUGGGAUUAACUUUAAUCCCACCCAAUAUGUUUAUUUCGAGAAUAAGUAAGAAGUGUUUAUUCCACAAAUAGAUGUAAGGAAGAACUAGAUCAAUUUUAUAUUUAGAUAAAAUGUGACGCCCCAACUUCCCAGGGGGUCACCCAUCCUAGGACUACUCCCGUCCUAGCACGCUUAACUCUCUUAACCUCUUGGGCCUUGCCACCAUCCAAAAUGCUUAAGCCGGGUUAAGAGUUUAGUCCUAUUAUAUCUUAUAUAUAGGACUAUCUGGGGUCUCACAAUCUCCCCUCCUUUAAGCUCUGACGUCCUCGUCAGGCUCAGACUCACAAGUACCAGGCGAUGUGAGACUCGUCUCGCUAGCCCGUCAUCCAGACCCUGGCUCAGCCGAAACUCAUCUCACACUUCCGGCUGGUAAUUGGCUCUGAUACCAUCUGUAACGCCCCGACUUCCCAGGGGGUCACCCAUCCUAGGACUACUCCCGUCCUAGCACGCUUAACUCUCUUAACCUCUUGGGCCUUGCCACCACCCAAAAUGCUUAAGCCGGGUUAAGAGUUUAGCCCUAUUAUAUCUCAUAUAUAGGACUAUCUGGGGUCUCACAAUCUCCCAUCCUUUAAGCUCCACUUCCGGCUGGUAAUUAGCUCUGAUACCAUCUGUAACGCCCCGACUUCCCAGGGGGUCACCCAUCCUAGGACUACUCCCGUCCUAGCACGCUUAACUCUCUUAACCUCUUGGGCCUUGCCACCACCCAAAAUGCUUAAGCCGGGUUAAGAGUUUAGCCCUAUUAUAUCUCAUAUAUAGGACUAUCUGGGGUCUCACAUAAAAAUUAAGUAUUUUUCACAAAUAAGAAAAAAAAGUGUUUUGGUAGAAUGACAAGAAUAGUGAGUAAUUAUAAAUAAAAAAUAAUAAUAUUAUCCCUUAUAUUAUAUUUGAAUUUAAAUUUUUAAAUUUUAUAUAUAAAUUUUUAAAUUUAAAUAUAUUAUUUUGAAUUUCAAAAAUUUAUAUUUCUAAACUCAAAUUCAAAAAUUCAAAGUUCUAAAUUUUAACUUUGAAAUUGUUAAUACAAGAUUAAAUCUAAAUUCAAAUAUAUAAAAUAUGAAAUUUUAAAUUUAAAAAAUUUAAAUAUCAAUUUAAAUUUAAAUUUUAGAAUUUAAAAUUAUAAAAUUUUAACUUUAAAAUUACAAAUUAUAAACCUUUAAAAUUUUAAUUUUAAUUUUUUAAAAAUUUAAAUAUGAAUGGAAAUAGCUAUUCUCACCCUACUCCCACACAAGGGGUGGGAUAACUAUCCCACCCUUUAACAAGUUAUCCUGAGUGGGAUAGUUAUCCCACUCCCCUUUUUUUGUGUUUGGGUAUAAGGGCGGGAUUAUUCCUUAUCCCCAACCCAACACUAUCUUUAAGUAUAAUUUAACUAAUACUCAAAGCCCCCUUUGGUUUGGGGGUAACAAAUAUUGGGAUAAACUUUUUUAUCCAUGAAAUAGCUUGCUAUUCUGGAAUAGUCAGGAAUAAAAGUAAAAUUAUGCUUGGUUUGUAAUGAUGUAUUUUUAGGAAUAAUUAAAAUUGUGUUGGGUUAAUUUUAUGGAAUAGUAGAGGAUAGUGGAGAAAAAUAAUCGUUGCAUUUGAUAUAUAAUAUAUAAUUUAAUAAUAAUUAUUUAAAUAUAAUUUACUAUAAAAUUUAUUAUAAUAUUUAAAUAUAAAUAACAUGUAUAAAUAUAGUAUAAUUAAUAAUUUUAUAAUAAAAACAAUAUAUUAUAAUAUAUAAUAUAUUAUAUCUAUAUAAUUUAAUUUUAAUUCAAUUUAUUAUUUUAAUAAAGUCUGAAAUUAAACCUUAGAAUAGCACUAUUCUACCAAAAUGGUUGAAUAGCAAAUCCCAAGCUAUUCUAGGAUAGCCGAGAAUAGCAAGAUUUGACCGGAAAAAAAUAUCCCGGCCAAAAAGCACCUAGUUUAGCAGAAUAGUGGGAAAUAACUUUUGUUAUCGCUAGUUUAUCCCUGAACCAAACAGAACUUAUUUUUGAACCUCCAAAUACCUCAUAAUAAAUUUUUUCUAUACUCAUAGCAUAAUUAAACUAUGCUCUAAAAAAAAAUAGCAUCCAAACAGGCCCUAAACCUAGAAUCCGAAAAUCAACUAUAAAGUCGACAGCUCUGUUCGCCUCUGAAAAAGAUUGUCCUCUCGCUUCUCUCGCAGCCCAUUCCCUCGCCGAUUUUGAGCCCAAAAUGGCUCCUUUCUUCCCUAGGUCUCAAUCUCUAACCACCUCACGCCCAUCAAAACCCUUGAUGAUCCCAUUCCUUGCCAUCUUAUAUACCAAAGACGUAUCAAAGGGCAUCGAUCAACAACUCCCGCCACCAAAAUACCAAUUUUCUAGCUUAAUAGCUUUAUAAAUCAGGUAAUAACCUGAGUUUCAGGGGAAUAUAAUUUUAAAAAUGUUUAACUACUAGUCAAUAGGGGCAGAGCUAUGAAAACUUAGGGGGGCCAUGGCCGACUUUCCAUAAUUGCAUAAUAGUCCCUUAUUUAUAAAAAUAUUUAAAAGAUAUAUUUUUAGCUAAUCUUAAAAGUAUAUUAACUGACCUAUCUUUUAAAAAAAUUCUUAGCGUUAAGAUAGUGCUCUCUCAAUGGAUUUAUUUGAUUUUUUUUGUUUAGUACCUUCGGAAAUUCUAAUUAUUCUAGAUAAUCAUUUUAUUUAAUUAAGUUAAAGAUUAUAUAAA